AUCAGAGCGUCAAUAGUGCAGCACCAGCGCGCAAUAGCACUUGAUUAGGCCUCUCAGCAAUCCCAAUGCAUGAUUGAUCAGAUUUCAUGGUUCAACGACUUCAGCCAUGCCGCCGUAGUAGGACAAUUCAUCCUAUGUUGCAUAGGAGUUGUCGAACCGUCGGAAUUAGAUCUCAUAUGUUCCUGGUGGUAGCAUGUAAAUUUGGCGUGUCAAACUGCUUUGUUGGGUGGGUAUUGGUUAACCCACCUCUCAGAUAUCUGUAAAAGGCCCCAUAGAAACGGAGGAAAUGACAGGGCCCAUGUUGUUUAUACUGAUAUACAGUAGCAUCUUCGUGGGAAGAUGGCUUGAGUUGACCGGAAAAUUACCAAUAAAGCAUGUUGGCUUCAAACUUUAGUUACUACUCCUGUUUGCAUUAUGUUAUCCUGUUUGCGCGGGAUGAUGUCAUCGCUUUGUUUUGCUUUUCUGCAGCAAAUUCUUAUGAUGUUCCCUCGUGAGAAACUAGUAAAGAUUAUGAGUGUUGCAGCGAUGGUAAGUCGCAAAGUAGCAUGCAUUUUCAGUGGCCAGUGGGCGUGGGGCAGCAAGAUGGUGCUGAGUGGAUGCUUUUGACGGGAAGGUCUAAAAUAUCUGCAUAAUCGCAGCCUCACAGGCUUAGUGUAUUUGCUAAUAACAUAAAAUAUCUCCCUCGUUUCGCUAAGGGACACACGGGGCUGCUAUGGAUGAGAGGCGGCUGCUUUGCCAAUGUCCCUGUCGCCGGAUGCUUCUGCUCCAGGCCAACUUCACCACGACUUCAAAUGGAUGUCCGGUUUGGCUGGAUUUUGUCCUUUUGAGGCGGCAAUGGGUUCGCCCAUCCCUUUGAGGCGGCAAUGGGUUCGCCCGUGUUUGUUCUUGUCUGUUGGAUCGUGCGUGCACCUACCGCGCGGUCGCACCCCAAAUCAUGUCCGUGUUGGAUCGUGCGUGCGCCUACCGCGCGAUCGCACCCCAAAUCAUGUCCGCAUUGGACGUGAUUAAAAAACAAACAGAAAAACGUAAAUAAAAUGACUAAAAAAGUAAAUAAACACGGUUAAGAAAACAUAAAACAUUAGUUAGGGGUCACGGCCACAAAACGGCCGAGUUUAACAGUUCACUUAACGGUCUAGUGCUAUAAUUAACAUAAAAAAACGCCGCCCGCACGUUCCUGCCGCGUCCCUCGAUGCCAUGGCCGUCGUCGUCUUCAGUGUCCGUCGGUGUCGUCGUCGUCGCUUACGAGGUCGACGUAGGCCGGCGGCGUCCAGAGGUGGGACGGCGGCGCGUGGUACACGGGGGCGGGCUGGAAGGCCGGAGGUGCCUGCACCACCUCCUCCCGUGGCGAGGCCUCCCGCUCCGGUGACCGCGGCGGCGUGGGGCACCAGUUCACGCUCCCCAUGGCGUCGGCCAUCUCCGGAGCUGUGCACGACCAGCUCCACUGCUGGCCCACCAGAUCCGGGUGGAACGCGGCCACCGACGCGUCCUCCAUCGCCUCCUCCGUCGCCACCAUAUCCAGCUCGGGGAUGGCAACGUCGCCGGCCGCAGAGAGGGCCAUCGUCUCCUCUAGGCCCCGCCAUUGGCGCUCAUCAUGUGUGUUCAUGGAGUCCUCCAUGACACGCUGCAUGAGCCGGGCCUCCUCCGCUGUCAUGCGAGGAGGUGGAGGUGGUGACGGAGACGGGGAAGGCGACGGCGUGGGCGUGAGGCCGCGCACCUGUGUACGCCCGCGCACCUCCCGACGUCGUGCCGGCGAAGUAGGACGCGCGGAGCGUGUCGUGCUUGUCCUGGAGCCAGGUGCCUCGGGGGCGUACCUAUUGUCGAAGUAGAGGUCGUCGGGGAGGAGGCGGCGGCGGCGCUCGAUCUCAUCGCGGCGCACACGGCCGCUCGUUGGCACCGGUGGGAUCGGGACCCGGUCGGCGGAGAGGUGCCAAUUGUUGGGGAGGUGGACGUUACUCCACGGGACCGGCGUCCUCGUCUCCCAGUAGCGCCGGCACACAUCGACACUGAGGUACUGCCGGUCGCGCUCGCCGGUGGGCCUAGGGGCGAUGGUGAAAGGGGCAGGCACGGGGGCGAUGCGGCCUCCUUUUUCACAGAGCAGCGGCGGCGUUCCGACGAGGAGCCAGCCUCGCGGUCGUGCUUCCCCUUGCGGCCGUAGUCCCACAGGCCCAUGGCUGCGAGGCGGCCAGCCGGCGAGUUCGAGGCCAGGGUUUGGGAGUGGCGGGUUUCGAGGAGGCCGCAGGAUGGAGUGGGGAGUGUGGACGACGAUCGGUCCACGACUUCCGCAUUUAAGAACGACCGUGAUGUUUCCCUGGGCGGAUGACAGGCGGGCCCGGCCACGCGUGCGCAUUAAUGUUGGCGGGUAGAAGGUAGGUGGUCGCCUGCCACGCGGCCCCGACGCAGACGAGCGCGUGUCUGUUUGUUGUCCGCCGCGACCCAAAACCGGCGCAUGUUUGCGCUUGAAAUGGUCGGUCCGGACACAAAACGGACAGGAUGGGUUCGGGCCGUCGCGCGCAGAGCCGACCGGUUUGUCUAUUUUACCACAAACGGACGGGAUCGGACGGGAUGGGAUCGCGCGGUGGAGUUGGCCUGACUGCAUGGUUAUUUGCUGGAGUAGUACUAUACUGAGCAUCGAAAGAAGCAGUUUUGUUACCCGAGUGACAAGUUGAGGUUGGAGCGAUCCGAUCUGAUACACAUGUGAUGUGGCUGGUUCAUCUCCGUUGACUUGCAGCUUAGUUCGCAAACGCAAGUAAAAAGGUCUCAGUCCCAGGGUGACCCUUGUUGAGCUCUCGAGCUGUGCAUUCUUGACCAUGACCCGGAAACAAAUGUUUUUCCGGAAGUGAAACAAAUGUUUUUCCGGAAGUAAAAGGUGAUGACAUGGGCCUCAUGUUGUAACACAUCUCGAAGCUGACUGUGAUAUGCCGCGCAGAAAGAAGAAAGAAAGAAAGAAAGAAAGGGGUGUGGAGACGAUGUCUGAACCUUGGACCGGCACUGACUCCAGGGCUUUGCUGUUUCUCUUUCUCGGGUAUGAAAUGAAACAGGGGUUGGUUGGAGGAGUACGAAGAUAGCCGCCGGACAAACUACACCGACUCCUCCGUUCCGUCUUCCGUGGCUUUCCCUUUACCCGGUCCUAGUCAAACGCGUGGGCCGCCUCCACGUACCGGUUUUCCACCUGACAUCGACCGCGAGCUAGAAACAAAUCUACCCGCUUUUCCCAAUUCAAAACCACUGUCAAUGAAAGGAACCGUCUAAUUCUACAGCAGGUUUCUUCACUUUCCGAGAGCAAUUUUCCCCGUCAAUUUUUCUCCCGAGAGCAAUAUACCGGUGCAGUGCUGCGUGAUCUGGGGUUCAGACUUCAGAAACGGACAAAAAACAACCACGUGUUCGUCCCCCACUCUUCAUCCCGGGAAUACUUUGCGCGGCAGACGACUGGACGAGACGAGGAGCAUGUGCGAGUGCGACCCAUUGGUUGGCCCUAGACAACGAGGCAGACCAGCGCCCCUCUUCUCUCUUCAGCCAAACCCAGAUCGGAUCCUUCUAUUCUAUCGUGUUGAUCGAGGACGCAUACGUCUGACCGAGAAAAAGAAAUUAUAUUUCAUUUCAGUUCAGUUCAAGUACUCCUACACACGUGACCCGUGCGGACCUCGCUAUGCAUGCAUUUUCGAUCUCAUCUGCCCCGUCCACAACCACAACCACAACCGCAGCGGGCUCUUUUAUUUGCAGCAACUUGACAGACGUCGUCGCGCUACGACGAUCCGUAUCGCGAUGUUGGUGCACAGAUCUGGUCGAAAAUGUGAUCUGGAAUGGUUUUCUUUGUCAAGUGGGAAAACGCAUCGCACGUGUCGCGAGUGGUUACGUCGUCCCAUCAUCGAAGCGGAUGACAAGCAAGUAAACCCCUGAUCUGAUCGCCGCAGUUCGUAGGAGCAAUCCGACGAGAAAGCUACCGCUCGGUGAGAUAAUAAGGGCCUGUUUGAUUUUAAAUAAGUCACUAACUUAUAAGUCGAAAAGUGAAAAAAGUAACUUAUUUUGUCAAAUAGGUCUAACUUAUAAGUCACCCCAACUUAUAAGUCAUAAGUUGCUUCACCUCAACUUAAAACUUAUAAGUCAUCCCCUUUUACGUAGGUCCCACCAUUUACAUGAUGUGGAUUGGUGUAAAAAGGUGUAGUCAGGUGACUUAUAAGUCAGGUGACAAGUCACGCCUGUUUGGUUGUCACCUGACUUAUAAGUCAGGUGACUUAUUGGAACCAAAUAGGCCCUAACAACUCCACAUUAUCUAUGUACCUCAUAAGAAAUGUUUUUUUUAGCACAAGAAGCUAAAACUUCAAACAGUGCACGAAGCACUUGGGAAUCAUCGUCACGCCUAUUGCAAUUAUUGCGUCUGUGUCAUGUGUCGUCUAAACUUACUUAACAAUGAAAUCAUAUAUAAGCUUUGCAUAUUCACGAAAAGAGAACACUUGAGAAUCCGAUGUUUGAUUUCUCUUCCCAAGUAUUUUCAUAGUACUAUGGUUUGACGAAUUCUAUACUAUAGGGGCCCAUUCGGUUUGGAUGAAAUCAAAACGUAGGAAGUAAAUUCUAAGAAAUUGACUUUGCCUCGUUCCUAUGCGCAAAAUAAGUUUUGAGUGGAUCUGUAGUUUCUUUCAAAAACACAGGAAAUAAGUAGUACUCCUACGAAAUUCUUUUACGCAUUUCCUACAAACCAAAUGCAUAUAUAGAAAAGUUUCUUUCAAAUCCUUGUUCCUAUGUUUUUCCUAUGAAAAUCCUCCAAACCGAACGAGCCUAAGAGCAUCUCAGCCGUUAGCCUUCCCCCCCCCCCUCCCCGCUAGAAAAAAGCGCCGGUUGGGGGCGAACCGACGAUAUUUUCGGCGUGGGGGGCGAUCGGGUUCCCAGCCGCCGCCCCCAGGUCGCCCCGAGACGCCCUUUUGCAAAUAUUUUUAAAGACAAAAUCGGCCAAAAUUUGGCAAACACAACAUAGAUUCGGCGAUAUUUAGGCGUUCCACAGUUUUUUUUUGCAUAUUGAAAACAUAAUUUACUAAAAGAAAAAAAACUGCUGCUGCCGCGCCUACAGGCCGAAGAGCUUGCUGAAGGCGUCGUACUCGCCGUCGUCGUCGUCCUCCUUCUCCUUCUUCACUCCGCGGCCGUCCCUGCUGGACCCCUGCCCGGGGUCGCCCUAGCGAACUGGUUUGGCCGGCGGCAGCGCGUCGUCAUCGCUGUCCUCGAGGACGAUGACGCCUCCCUCGCCGCGGCCACUGCGACGAGCAGCGAUCUCCUUUAGGGCGCGGCGCUGGCGCUCCAUCUCCAGCCGGGCCCAAAACUCCCGUGCCCACUUCAUGGCGGCCUCGUCGUCGAGCGCAUCAUCGUGCUCGCUUUUCACGGCAGCGAGCCCCGACUCCGUUUUCGGCUUGACGAGGCGGGAGUUAGGAGUCGAGGAGGAGGCACGACCGCCCUCGUUGAAGACGAGGGCGGUGCCGCGGGUGCGCCGACCGAGCGGCGUUUCCACGAGCUCGACCUUGAUGCUGACGAGCGCCGGCGAUCCAGAGGAGCGGGAGGAGGAACGGGAAGAGGAGGAGGAGGACCCGCCCAGCAUGUGCCUCGGCAACCACGGGCUGCCACUCCGGCGGGGGGCCGGGGCCGGGGCCGCCGGGUACUGGAGCGGCGGAUUGUUGCCUCCCUCGAGGUACUCGAGGACGGCGUGGAGCGUGCGGCCGGGGACGCCCCACCACAGGCGGCAGCCGUCGCUGUUGCGCCCCCUUACCAUCGGCGAGUUGUUGGUGGAGGCAAGCCGCUCCUCCUGCCGGCGUUCGAAGUACGCCACCCAGUGCGCGUGGUCGUCGGUGGCAUACUCCGGGAGGUCCCGCUCCUCCUCCGUCAGCGAGGCCCGAACUCGGUCGAUCUCGGCGUGGAAGUAGCCGAGGUGGUCGACGUCAGGCCGCGGAGGGACUGGGACGCCCCCGACGCCGAGCCUCCACCGCCCCGGCAUGCGCAUGUCGGGCGGCGUCGGGUAGUUCGCCUCGUGGAGGAGGUUGGCUUCCCACUCGUGCAGGUGGCGGCGGCCGAAGCCGUUGGCCGCCGCUCCAUCGCCGGGGAACCGCUCUCCCAUCGACGGGGCUUGCGCGCGAUGGCUAGACAGGGAGAGAGGGGAAGAGAGAUCGUCGGCGGCGAGAGAGGGGCUGCGGGGCGAGUGCGUCCACCGGCGAGGGAGGGGGGAGGCAAACGUGUGUACGCGUGGCGGGAGAGGACGCGUCGCCGCACUGCGCCACCCGUGAGGAAUCAAUGGAAGGCUGACCGGCGUCAACCUUGGCAUUGAUUCCCCGCGGGAAACCAAGGCAAUGAGGGCGACGAUGCGCGAAGGUCGCUGACUCGGCGGGCCCGCUGUUCUUUCGCACCAAAAACGAUUUCCCCUUGUCCGGCCUGGGUCGGCCGGCGCCAGUUCCGGCCCUAACCGACGAAAAUUGGCAUCUUGAAACACAACUGGGCCGUUUUUCAACGUUGACGCUAAAAAUUGAUCUAGGGACUGUUGGGGACGCAGCUGGAGAUACUCUGAGUUGCAGUUUCGAGACCGGCAGAUUGCGCCACCAUCCACGACGAACUAGUAAUCAUUUUCCUUCUCCCACACAAAAAUCUGCCAAAAUAUACCAGCUAGUCAAAACAAUCACGGCUCCAGCAUUAAUGUGCGGUUUCUCUCUGGAUUACCAAGUCGCUGUGAUGAACAGUGAACUCGUGUCCUGCCUACAGGACACCGCACAUGAAGAAACGUCGUUGUUUCAGCCGCUGGAAUAGUGUUCAUGUGCAGCCACAAGUGUGGAGAAGAACAUCUCGCACAAAGAAAUAACAUCAUUGCGAAGAACAAGGCACUCAAUCGUCAGCAACCUUUCGAACCGAGCGAUCCAAACGCAUUUUGUCUUUGAACACCGUAUCUCAUCUGGCCGCGGAGCAGUCUGGACAUUCGUUUUCUCGCAAACCGAACACAAAUAAGGACGAGUUUUGCAGGCGUCCUGACCGUUGCCACGUACGUGUCUGCCAUCCCGGACCCACCGGAAAAUUAUCCUGUGCCCGCGCCCUCUCCCGCGCGAAGCAGUUCCAGCACAUUCAUGCCGCUCAGCGCUGCUCGAAAGCACCAACACUACAUCAAUGUUGGUUUAGAGCGGACGUGACUUCUCACUAGAGCCGACAUUGAAGCGGCGCACUGGCCGAGAACGCCGCCUGGUCUCCUUGUAUGUUUCAAUGCUGGAGACGCGUGACCGUACGAGACUGGACGGCUAUGCACUACAUUCAUACUAGAUCCCGCCUGUCCGCCUGCUGACAUUAAACCGGCUCGAAGACCGGAAAACCCACUCCGAUGCCCGCAUUGACACACCACGCCGUGUGUCCCGGCCGAUUUCCUCUAUUUAAACGAUGUCUCCUUGCCCGACGCGACCAACACGAAUGCACCACGUCCGCCAUGACCGCGAGAUCUAGAGCUAUGUGGGAGAGCCUCUUGACGGAGCAGAAAUAUGAGUUGGUCGGCACUGCUACCGGCUGGCAGACCCGUCGUGCAUGACGAACUAAGGCAAGCUUGUCAUCUAGCUCACUGGAGGUUAGGGACGAGGACCAGACGAUGGAGGAGGCGUCCGACGAUGAGCUAGCACCCCUGCACUUGAACGCCGUCAUGGCGGAAGAGCAGUCGGCGACGCAUGUGUCGGCGUUCCGGCAUGCGGGGGAUGAGCGAUGCUACAACCUAUAGUUCCUCGACGAGAUUGGCUAAGGGGAAAAUCGAUGGCGAGCAGACCAAAGACAAAGUCGUCACGACCAUGGCCGUGGAGGAUCCAGGCUUCCCGGAUGAAUAGCGGGCGUCGUAUCAGUCCAUGCAUAACUCAUGUGGGGUCCGCUGCGAGCGAUGGAGUCUGCGCGUCCUGCUGGCGGAGAGAGACGUCCUGUUCACGGAGAUCAAUGCGACAACAGACGAAGAGGAGGCGCAGACGAUCGCAGACGUUGCCAGCUCCACGAUGGUCGUGAAUCCACCACGGUUCGCGCCCCGCCGCCACGACCACGAGGUCGACACAUCCAUGUUUGACGGUGUCGACAAGGCGGAUUUCGAUGAGGAAGAGUAGGACAUGGGAGCCACCACGGCUUGGGUUCUAGGAAGGACACUUCUAUUCUUUUCCUUCGUCUACAUCACUUCCCAGGGUUCACGGUCGGCGAGUGAGUUUGCUUGACAUGGGGAAGACAUGAGGUGGGACACAGACUCCCCCACCACAAGCGAUCAUUCAAACUAUGUUAUAAAGACUCAUCCACUUUUGUUUAGUUGAAAUAUGUCGAAACUGCAAUGACUCUAGUAUGGUUUAAAAAAAACAUCCAGUUUGCAUGAUAUUUGUCCGAUUUGUUCAAAUCUACUUUGAAAUGUAUGAGCAUGGUUGGAUGGACGCCUUCUAUAUCACUGUCCGCGGACGUGUCCAUGAAUAUAUACGAUGUUCAUUUUAAGGGUACACUUUGGAGAUGCCCUAAGUAUGCAAGCCAUCGAGCCCGGUAACGUGCCCUCUUUUACACGAGAAAUUACAAUUCGCUAGACUAUAUGGAAAAGAUGAGGGAGUGGUUUGAUAAGUCAAUCUUAGGUCCGUCAUGUAGUUUAGAGAAGACAAUAAAAUGAUGUGUAAUUGGUUAUUUUCUAAUCUUAUCUAUAAUAACAAGAUAUCCCUAAAUAUGUGGCGAGACAUGUUGUUGUGGAGAGAUUAUAUUUUAAUUAAAGAAAACAAACCUUUUAUUCUGGUUUGUCUUUCCUCCAUCAUAGCAUUUAUCUUACGUGACACUUCUAAAACAACACCAUUGCACAUGCCCUAGUAACAUCCUUUUUAUCACUUAUAUAUACUAUCAUAAUUUGUUUAUGUGAAUGUUUAUUUGCAAACAUUUUCGCUAGUGACACAUCAUAACUAGCAAGCACAGAGUUUCUGUUAUUUUUUGUUGAAAAAGGACCCGUGCAGGCAAACAAGUUAAACUUGGGAUAUAUCAUCUAACAUACUAGAUGAUGCCCCGCAUUACCGGCUUACCGCAGGAAUUGUUUGCAAUAUAGUAUAAUUAGAUUUGGUUAUAUGGAUAUGAAUAUUUAGAUUAAUAAUAUAAGAACUAAAACUAAACAAAGAACCAUGCAUGCAAACAAAGUUAAACUUUGGAUCGAUCAUCUAACAUACUAGAUGAUACCCCCGCAUUACCGCGGGAAUUGUUUGCAAUAUAUCACAAUGAGAUUUGGUGAUAUGAAUAUGUAUAUUUGGAUUAAUAAUAUAAGAACUAAAACUAAAAAUACAUAUGAUUAUGGCAUAACUAUAAAAUAUUUAUUGAAUAUGAGUAGCAUAAUAUAAUUAAAAUAUUUGAGUCCUUUGCUAGUUUGCAUGCAUGAUUGUAGGUUGAGGUGGCAUCUAUAUAUGAAUAUUGCAUAAUUAUAGAAUAUUUAUUGAAUAUGGGUAGCAUAGUAUAAUUAAAAUACACUACAAAAAUACACUUCCGUGAUGAUACGUGUUUAUCACAGUAGGUCACAUUUUCUGUCAUGCAUGUACAUCCAUGACGAUUUUAUGAUAGAAUCAAGAUAGUCAUACCUGUGCUGUCGUAUAAGUGUUCCAUGACAUUACCAAAAUUAUCAUCACGGAAGUGUCCACUUCGCGUGUCAUAGAAGUGCUUUUGUCAAGGGUGACCGACAUGUGGCAUCCACCGUAACGGAACGCCGUUAAGCUAUUGAGUCCGAUUUUGGAUCCGAUAACCCGUUAACAGCCCCGACCAAUGGGGAUUUUUCACGUGUAAAAUCAUCAUUGGCUGGAGGAAACACGUGUCGGCUCACCGUUGGGAUAGAUGUCAUCCACUCAUUGGACCGAAGGCGCCUAUGAUACGUUGACACGUGGCACGACCCAACAAAGGCACAUUCCUGUGAAAAGGCCAGCCCGUUUGACUUGGUCAAAAGGUGGAGGACCGCCCCACGGGAAGCCUGUUAACGGCAUGUUCGCAUAUAGCUCAUUUACAGCCUGCUAACCCAGGGUCCGUUAUGACCUAUUCGAAUUAGGCCCAGUAGCGUCAUCUGGGCCGUCCAAUAUGAUUCCAGCCCGUUUUAAGUUCCGGCCCAUGUAUGGCCCAUGACGUCUUUCGGCCCAUAUGAGGUCCUUUGUAACUCUUGGCCCAUUAACGUCCCGUAGUGAAACUGGCCCGUAAUAAACAGUGUAUCACUUUAUACCCAUUAACAACCCGUUAUUUCAUUGGGCAUUUUGCAGCCCAUGUUAUCUUUUGGCCUUCUCAGGACCCAUUUAUUCUUGAGCUCAUUUCCAGCAUUCGGUUACUUACGGCCCGUUACUGUCAUUUUCUGCUUGUGGGCCAAAUUCAGCCCGUCGUUACAGUCGGCCCGUUUGUGGCCCGUUAAUAUGUUGGGCCGUUUUUAUAGCGUCAUCAAAUACGGCAUAUUAACGACGACCCAUUAUGGUCCGCCCAUGAACGGACGAUUCCAACUCUAGCCCGUUUAUGGCCAUAAUGCGGUAUGUUACUGGCUCAUGUUUGGCCAAUCGAUCAUAUGGCCCGUAUAAGGCCCAUUGAUGAUAUGGCCCGUAGAAGACCCAUUGUUUCUACGGCCCGUAGAAGGCCCAUUGUUUCUACGGCCCGUAGGAGGCCCAGUGUCAAUACAGUAAAUAUGUAGCCCAUGGUUAUUGUGGCCUAGUUUUAAAAAAUAGGUUAUUGCGGCCACUAGCAAACCGCGGAAAAAGAACUGCACUAACUACAAGCAAACAAAUAAACAAGACAAUAAGGAAAUAAAUAAGCAAGCAACUUAUGCUAGGCUAUCACGACUAUUACACAUAUUACAUCCACUGGGCAUCAAAGUUCGCCACCAGUGCAAAUAAACGAGCCGACAAAAGAAUAUUCAAAACCGAGAGCACUUCAGAAGGCACUAGGCCUAGCCAGGUCGGACCCCGCAAACAGCCGAAGAAGCUGAUUAGACCUCAGUUGUGUCAACGAUAGAUGCUUCAUCCCUAGCUGUAUGCUACGAUAGUGCGCAAGGCAGUCCUCUGACAUCUUCAUUACAUCUUUGACUUCAAGUCAGAGCCAAGCUGAAGCAAGCCUUUCCGCUUUAAGUUGAGACUGAAGAAGUCGAACUGAUUGAGGCAGCGACUGCACAGAGGUUGUAUCACACCUGCUGGUGAGUAGCUUCAACUCACUGUCUUCAUCAAGACAGGACCUUGGGGUCAUCUCGCUGUCCUCAAGAUGGUUUGGCUCACUAUCUUUCCUAAAGUUCUGCCUGGCAUAAGAGAUAAGACUCUGAAAGAGAAACAAGGAGACACGUAACAGGUUUCACAAUUAUAUAAGCAAAUAAAUGGAUCUGUUCUUCAUAAGGAACAUGUUUUUACAACUACAAUUUAAAACUAGUAGUUGUUGCAAACAUCCAAUCAGAUGUAAACAACAAAAUAAACAGCAGCGGAGGAAAUGAUGCCUAUCCAAAUCUAUACUAGAACAAAGUUUGAAGGCUUGAGAAGGAUGAACUUACAUUACAUGUUAACACGGGCUGGACAAAGCCCUUCUCCAUGUUGAUGGAAGGAUAAUUCAAAAAAAUUCCCAAAGAAAAUUCUUUAUAAGCGUUGCCAUUGUUCUACAUUUUGCAAAGAGUAAAUAUAGAUCAAAUAAUAUUGGAAGAAACAGAGGAUAAUGAAGCUCAGGUGCAGACUAAUGAUACAUAAUCAAAUAGCAAUUAAUUAAGUACAAUGUUACAAGGCAAAAGGGCGAGAGGUACUGACAAGAGCAAUGUAGAGCCCAAUAUUGUUGUGAGAUCGUAUGAUCCUUUGAGCAAGGAGAUUCAUCUGAAAUUAGUUUUCAUACAAGAGAGAAUAUAAGGCGCAUGCAUAAACUUAGGAGUUCAAAUUUUGAAUUGAUAUCAUGGACAGUACCUGACGCUGGGCUCUCAGCAGUUUUAAUAGGGGUUGGGCCACUGGAGUUGGGGUAAAGUGUGAUACAGUUGGGCCUAUGUUUUCUGUGUCUGCUGAUCUAUCUGAUUUAAUAGGUAUCACUACCUUUUCCAAAUACUUAGUUUGUACUCCUUGAGGAUCUGCACUCACCCUCUUCCUUUUGGACAUCUAUUACGAAAGAACAACAUUUGACUGGACAAACAUAGUAUGAUGCCACAUGGAAUAUAUACAGAAAAUGGAUAGGUAUGGCAUAUACUCAUAUAUGAUGCUUAAACUAAGAAGAUGGUGUAACAAAGUAGAAGUAAUGCAAGAGGUCAGAUGCAAAAUAUGUGCGACCAAUACAACCUUGCCAAGUUAGAGCAAGCACCUUGAUGGGUGAAUAAGAUAGGCCAUCCUCCACCAUGCCAAGUUUGUUAGCUAGUGGAUUGUUCCGCAAUAUUCCUCUCGUGCGCCCAUUCUCAUAUUCAUUUUGAUAAUGUUCAAUAUAUGACAUGCAUGAAAACAUAAAAACAAGUGAGAUUAUCUUUGUAAUGCAGAAGUGAUUCUAAACCAAUAUUGCCUCCCUGUAAACCCCUUCGUGCUAUCUCUGCAAUUCUUUUAAGAGAUGCCAUGCAUGCUAUAAUUUGGUGUGUGCAUUAAUAUAAUGUGGCCUACUACUAAAAAUAUGAGAGCUCCAGAAGUGACGACACUUCGCAGAUGACAACUUCAACAUAUAGUAAAGAAGAACAAGUCGACCUGACCUGACAGAUUCAAAAUAUACUAAGGGAGAACAACUCGACCUGACCAGUCGACUGCAAGAGAAGAGGAUCAUCUUAAAGAAGAGCAGAGGAGGAAGCAGAUUGAAGAUAUUACAAGUAUUUCAAUACAAUGUCGGUUGGCCACCCAUGAUGAACCAGAGCGCAAAGAGAAAUACUAUUCCUUUCGGUCUCUCCAUAUGUGUCUCACAUGCAUUUCGAAACUAAAGUAGGAACAUUUAGCUGACCAAUUAAACAUCUCUCAGUUUUACUAAUAUCAACAUAAUAUCAGAUUUGAAUUUGUACAACUAAGCUUGUUUAGCUCGAUGGGUGAAGCAGUGCUAUUACGACACGAACCUCGUAGGCUGAUUGUGGUCAUCAUAAAAUGGGGAAACCAUAAGCAUGAUGAGUAUAGUGUUGACCAUGGCAGUGGGAUGGGAGAUCUGAAGCUGCAAACCGUGUAAAGGAUAGUUAGCAACCGAUAUUUGCUUUGAAAUAACAACUAAGAUUUGGUAUGGACAAGAAAGUACAAUCAACAAGUGACAAAGAAAUGCAAUUCUACUGUCUCUCUCUAUAUGUCGCGACAUGCAUUUGGAAACUCAAGUGGGACCUUUACCUAACCAAUUAAAUGUGUCUGUUAACUAAUAUCAGUAUCAUAUCACAAUCAUAUUUGAACAACUAAGCUUUGGAAUUUUGAGUGUUGUGUUGUUUAGCUUGAAGGGUGGAGUAAUGCUAGUACGACAGAAAGCACCUAUGUAGAUCAUAGUGGAGUAGAUAAAAGGGGAACGACGGCACCGAUGAAGCGAGAGGACGCGAUGAAACGAUCCUGGUCCAGCGACGUGGAUGAGAGACGUACAUAUCUUGCAGUGGACGACGGGGUAGGGUAGAGGCUCCAGCAAGGUGGAGGAUGGGGUGGCGGACGGAGGAGGAUGACCACAGUGGGGAGGUUGUCGUGGCGCCGAUGAUGUAUGAAUGGGGAAAUGGAGGGGGAGGGGGGAUCUCAAACUUUGGGACGCGCUUCUCUGAAAUGUGGGAAAGUUAUGAACUUAUCUCCCGUUAAAAAUUUUGGACAUCAUGUCGGUUGGGGAUAGGACGGUAAUCUCGCAUCUCCCAAAUAUUUGCCGGUAACGAUUUCUGGCGAGGAGAGGGUGUUUUGCCGCCCACGGUUGGCGCCCACGGUGUAUGAUCGGGGCUGACAGGUAGGGCGGUUGUGUCACGUCUGAGGGAAGUUACACAUCUGCCCCUAUUUAAAAUAUUAGCCUACAUCGAUUUCGGACUAGGAGAGUUUGUUUUGCCGCCCACCGUGUAUGAAUGGGGAAAUGGAGGGAGAGACACAUGUCUUUUGGACGAGCUUGAAUCAAAUAUGUUUCGCCGCCCACGUUUGGCGCCCAACGUGUCUGAAUGGGCUCAGAGGCCGUCAUGUCACGUCUGAUUGAAGUUACUAGUCUACCCCUAUCGUUAGCAGCAUAAAUCCGGUCGAUAAGGAUGUCAGGUGUCAGGGGUAGACAGUAAUUUCCAUGUCGCAAACACUUGCUUCAGGCAGCCCACAAAUUAUAGGUGAGUGUUUAGCCGCUUCAUUCAAAACUUGGGAGAAUUAGCAUUCACGUUUGCCCUAGGCCCUGGCAACUAAAUUCAAAUCCAAUUUGUAUUUGAUUACGAAUAUCCACAGAUAAUUCUAUGUUUUGUUAUUUAUUUCUUCAAAACCACAACAAAGAUUUAUUCCACCUUUAUAUAUGAUUAUGAUUUAGAAAGGCCGUGAUCUUCGAAUUCAGUAGGUUGGAUACACUUUCAGUCAAACAGUUAUUUCAUCAAAUACAAUAUGCUCACACGAAAAAUAGUUCACCUUAUGUCAAUCAUACAAGUACUGAGGAUUACCUCGCCUAAAAAAUUUGGAUCAUUACAACACAUGGACAACAUAGGGGGUCUUACAACAUAAUCCAUUCAGAGACAUGACACAACAUGCAAGUACAAUGAUCUAAUGACAAUUUCAACUGGUAUCUAAAGAAGAACCGGGAUUACCCUGGGCUUCAGAUAGCAGAAACAGCAGGACCUCCUCCGUCUUCAAAUGCAACAUUCUUACUUCCUCCAAUUCUUGGGUUGCUUGCAUAAUGUGUGCCACUAAUUGCAUAAUUUCCAGCCUCAAGAUAAAGAUUACCUCAUUCAUGGCAGCCACACCUUCUCUUCCUGCCUCUAGUAGAGCCUCAAGAACUAUAAUAUCUGUGCUCAGACUGCUCUCCGGUGGUGUUGCCUCUGAACUGCUACCAUCUAGUAACAUGGAUGGUGCAUUGCUUCCACAAAUAGAUUCUGGGGUUGUACAUUCUGUCCUAGUGUGAACGGCAUCCUGAAAGGUUUCCGCUGGACAUAAGUAAGAGAUAGUUAUCGCAUGAUCCACGCAGUAAUCUUACAUGGUAAACGACAUACUAAUUAUUGUCGAGCAUGGCAAGCUAUAUUUAAAUGGUUCGAAGCAGCAUCAGUCGAAAAGAAAUUAAAAUGGUAAGAUGAAACUAGGGAUGUAAGUGGCAAAUAAAUGACAUCCGCCAGUCCCAUCUAGUUAGUUUAUGCUAGCUCCCUAGUUCAUUUUCCUCAAAAAACAAAAACUCUUUUGAACUAUCAUACCACUAGUGGACUUUAAUCAGGAUUAGACGGGACCCAGUUGACAUCCCUAGUUGAAAGGGAGUGUACCACCGCUAUAUUUAAGUUGCCAAGGCAUCUAAGCACUUGAAAUAAUCUAAGAAAGCACUUAAUAGUGUGGCCUCAUAUAAACUACGAAGACAAUCUUGUGAUGAAGUUCAGAGGAAAAGUUAUGGACUCAAAUGAACUAGGCGUGCAUUUCUUUACGAUAGUACAACAUGCACUGCUGACAUGUUGGCCAACUCAGGUAUAGCGUAACAAGUAACAAGCAAGCAUUUGAAUCAAGCAAUACAGCAAAGCAGACAACUGAACUAUUUGUAAUUCUGUAGGAUUACAGGCUGAGGACACAAGCCAAGAAAGCAGCCCACUCGCAUUACAUUUCACAUGUACUAAAACACACUGGCUUACCAUAUGUUGUUGUGAAGCCUCGCUGCUGUUGCAAUGUUCUUUGAAGAUAUCGUCAGCAUCCGGUGGUUGCAAAUCUAGUUGUUGUAGUUUAUUUUGCACCCUCUAUUUAGGUAAAAUUAAUUUUAAUCGCAUGCACUGGUCUGAAUUGAUCAUCAAUGGUUCAUCUAAACUAAUGAAAGAAGGGUGUGUGCAUACACGACAAUAUAUCUGCUUCCCUCUAUUUUUAUGCUUGUUCGAGAUGCCAGCCCCAGAAGAACAAAUAUUUUGCUUGAUGGGGUUGGCAGCUCCAUAAUUAAUAGAAGCAUCAAAUUAGUCAUGCAACUUGGGAAGAUCAAGAACACACAUAGAAGUAAUGAAUAGAGGCUCGGAGCAGUGAUGCAAUAGCUAGCAUUAGAAAAUGUUUGGUAAAACAGACAAAAAACAGCGGAACCAGAUGCUAGUUUGCUGAUGUGUAAUUAAGCAUAGAGAACAUGAAGCAGUCUGAUGGAACCAACAGGUGGCAUCAGAACAACACCAUCAUCAUAAAUAUAGCAUGCAAGAAGUAAAAUAGUAGGCAGUGAUAUCUAGGAAGUACAAUAAUACUUAGGACAAAACUAAAGCAUAUUAACUAUAUGUGCACUGGUAUGUAAUUUAGCACAUGUAACAUGUUCACUGCCAGAAGUAUGGCCCUACAGGUGCAAGCAGAAUAACGCGUCUCAUGAAAAAUUGAAUGAUGCCCUAAAGAAAUUCAAAGGUGCGGUGCUUAUGCUAAGAAAGUGAACGUAGGCGCCGGCCGUUGGAUAGUAGUACCUGAUUCUCGGUGGCGUAUGGGUAUUGUUGUCAUACUUGAUAGCUAAGGAUCAUCGAUGGUGCUCGUGUUGCGGUUGAGUUUGGGCCAGCUGUCACCGUCGCUGAAGCGGCUCCGGUGCUACGGUUGCGGCGCCUGUUGACAUACAAGAAAGCUCAUCUGUGGUAAGUGAACAGUUGCACGACAAAGAGAAAAACUGAAGGAGUACAAAUCAAAAUAACCUGAUGAGGCUGUAGCGUCAAUAAUGUAGGGCCAGUGGAGUUGAAUAUGGCGUCCGUGGAGCGGGUCCGGUGCAGCGGACGAAGGCUUCGGCAUGCGCGUUGUACAGUGCUUUCGGUGAGGCGGAUCUAUUGCGGCGGACAGGGGCUUGUAUGAAGGGUCGGCGAUGGGGCGAGGGACUUAGUGAAGGGCCUACACUGUGGUGGACGAGGGCGCCGGUUAAGCAGAUUCGGUGCGGUGGAACAUGAUGGCGGUCAAGGAGAUCUGGAGCGGUGGACAAGCCAGUCGCUGAAGCGGCUCCGGUGAAGUGGUGAGUUGCUAGUUGGGGUUCCAAGGUGCGGAAGGUAGAUCCGGCAGGGUGUGAGGUCCACCUCUGCGGCGGAGGACUAGAUUCAGCGGCUUGCCGUGGUUGGGGGGGGGGUCGAGGACGGGAAGGGGAGGGGCUCUGGGGAAGAAUGUUGGGGGCAAAGAGGGGAAAACAAUGGAGUUAACAAAGCAGCCCUUUUCCGUUCAUGUGGCAGGGGUAAAACAGGAAUAUCACAGGGCUAAACUUUCGGGCGCGAGAUAUUUCGAUGUGAGCAGGAAGUUUGAAAGCUUUUGGCGCCUGAAAUUAUAUUCUGCUCUUGUAUGGCCGACUAUGAUAUCAUGGCCGAGAAUUUGUUUGUUUUGCACGCAAAAAAAGUGCAAGUUUUGAAAAUCAAUGUCUCCAACUCGAAACUUACAUUGUCCAUUCAAUUCAAAUAUGGAUCAUUGAGCUAGUACAAGAAAAUACCAUCAUCCGGUCCAAUUCAAAUGGAAUUCCAAAUGUGUUUAUCCUAAAUAUGAUGACAAAAGCAAAAAUGUGUAUGUGUAUGAAUAAAGUGGAUGAUUAUAAAGUUUGAACAUGCCCGUAUGUGUAUAUCUCUAGGUUUGAUAUAUGGAUUUGAGAUCACGAAAUCCCGGCUUAAAAAAUGUACCUCCAUUUAAAUGAAUUACAAAAGCUAAUGAUGGAAUCGAAUUCUAAAAUUCCAAUCUUAGGUUUGUAAUUCUGGUACAUCAAGGUAUAUCACGCAUGUUCAAAAGUAUCGUUAUCUCAUAGUCCAAACUGUGAAACAAAUUGAUCAACCAUGAGUGCACACACUAUUGACCAUAUAUAUCUCAAUUACGCUAAAGUCCCUCAAAUAUAGACACCCCAGUCUUUAUCUGAAGCCACCCCUCCCCCCCACACACAGAGAUGUCAUUCUCUCCCCCAGACACGAACACACAAGCACAUUAACACCCCUCUCUCUUCAAAAGUCCAGACCCCAAUAUAGGUCUCUAUCACUUUGUCUCUCGGGCAUGAACACAUCUCUUCCCCCACUCUCUAGGUCUCCCGGCAUCUCUCUUUCCCAAGCACACACACUAUGUAGAGUGUAUCUUUCCCAUACACACAAAACGUUGCCCCCAAAUGUCCAUCUCCCUAAUUAUGUGGUUCUCGCACACUCACCUCACACACCACCCCCACUGCAAACAAGCACACUUUGUCUCCUUGUGCACCACUCUCCUCUUUCUAUCUCUCCCACAUGUGGACCCGCCCCAGCUCCUUCCCUGUAUACAUAUAUGUUGUGACUCUUUCCAUAGCUCCCUAAUGUAUCAUCGUUCUCAAUCUCGCACAUUAUUCUCUACACCAUCUAUUCUAGAUCUCUCAUGAAGUCCCUAUCACACACACACACGAUGACUCGCUUCCCUUGCGUCUCCGUACAUAGGCUAAUUUUGAACAACAUCAACAUUGUCUCCCUAUCUAUACACCAUUUAUGGACACAAACGACCCCUCUCUCGCCCCCUCUCUUCCUCUCUUUCUCUCUCUCCGUCGCUAGCUCUCUCUCUCUCUCUCUCUCUCUCUCUCUCUCGCUCUCACACCCCUCUCCCACACACACUCGAUGUCUCUUCCAAAUAGUCUUCUCCCCCUGCCCGCACCCAUGCUAUCCCGCUACUAUAUGUUGGAAAUAUGCCCUAGAGGCAAUAAUAAAAUGGUUAUUAUUAUAUUUCUCUGUUCAUGAUAAUUGCCUAUUGUUCAUGCUAUAAUUGUAUUAUCUGGAAAUCGUAAUACAUGUGUGAAUACAUAGACCACAACAAGUCCCUAGUGAGCCUCUAGUUGACUAGCUCGUUGAUCAACAGAUAGUCAUGGUUUCCUGACUAUGGACAUUGGAUGUCAUUGAUAACGGGAUCACAUCAUUAGGAGAAUGAUGUGAUGGAUAAGAUCCAAUCCUAAGCAUAGCACAAAGAUCGUGUAGUUUGUUUAGCUAGAGCUUUUCCAAAUGUCAAGUAUCAUUUCCUUAGACCAUGAGAUUGUGCAACUCCCAGAUACCAUAGGAGUUCUUUGGGUGUGCCAAACGUCAGAACGUAACUGGGUGACUAUAAAGGUGCACUACGGGUAUCUCCGAAAGUGUCUGUUGGGUUGGCACGAAUCGAGACUGGGAUUUGUCACUCCGUAUGACGGAGAGGUAUCUCUGGGCCCACUCGGUAAUGCAUCAUCAUAAUGAGAUCAAUGUGACCAAGUGUUUGGUCACAGGAUCAUGCAUUACGGUAUGAGUAAAGUGACUUGCCGGUAACGAGAUUAAACGAGGUAUUGGGAUACCGACGAUCGAAUCUCGAGCAAGUAACGUACCGAUUGACAAAGGGAAUUGUAUACGAAUUGAUUGAAUACUCGACAUCGUGGUUCAUCCGAUGAGAUCAUCGAGGAGUGUGUGGGAGACAACAUGGGUAUCCAGAUCCCGCUGUUGGUUAUUGACCGGAGAGGCGUCUCGGUCAUGUCUGCAUGUCUCCCGAACCCGUAGGGUCUACACACUUAAGGUUCGGUGACGCUAGGGUUGUAGAGAUAUAAGUAUGUAGUAACCUGAAAGUUGUUCAUAGUCCCGGAUGAGAUCUCGGACGUCACGAGGAGUUCCGGGAUGGUCCGGAGGUGAAGAUUUAUAUAUGGGAAGUUCAGUUUCGGCCAUCGGGAAAGUUUCGGGGGUCACCGGUAUUGUACCGGGACCACCAGAAGGGUCCCGGGGGUCCAUCGGGUGGGGCCACCUAUCCCGGAGGGCCCCAUGGGCUGAAGUGGGAGGGGAACCAGCCCCUAGUGGGCUGGUGCGCCCCCCUUGGCCCCCCCUGCGCCUAGGGUUGGAAACCCUAGGGGUGGGGGCGCCUCCACUUGCCUUGGGGGCAAGCCACCCCUUUGGCCGCCGCCCCCCCUUGGAGAUCCCAUCUCCUAGGGCCGGCGCCCCCCAGGGGGCCUAUAUAAAGAGGGGGGAGGGAGGGUAGCCGCACCCCAAGUCUUUGGCGCCUCCCUCUCCCCAUGCACCACCUCUCCCUCUCGUAGAAGCUUGGCGAAGCCCUGCCGAGAUCGCUGCUGCAUGCACCACCACGCCGUCGUGCUGAUGGAUCUUCAUCAACCUCUCCUUCCCCCUUGCUGGAUCAAGAAGGAGGAGCCGUCUUCCCAACCGUACGUGUGUUGAACAAGGAGGUGCCGUCCGUUCAGCACUAGGAUCUCCGGUGAUUUGGAUCACGACGAGUACGACUCCCUCAACCCCGUUCUCUUGAACACUUCCGCUCGCGAUCUACAAGGGUAUGUAUAUGCAAUCCUCUCUCUCGUUGCUAGAUGACUCCAUAGAUUGAUCUUGGUGAAGCAUAGAAUUUUUUUAUUUUCCGCAACAUUCCCCAACAGUGGCAUCACGAGUUAGGUCUAUGCGUAGUUAUUAUGUACGAGUAGAACACAAAGCAGUUGUGGGCGUAGAUGUUGUCAAUUUUCUUGCCACUACUAGUCUUAUCUUGCUUCGGCGGCAUCGUGGGAUGAAGCGGCCUGGACCGACCUUACAUGUACGUGAAAGUGCUAGUAUCGACUAGAGGGGGGGUGAAUAGGCGAUUUUUAUGAAAGUCUUCAAAACUUGGAAGUUUCGAAGACAAACAAUAGAAAUGGCCUAGUUAAUAUGCAGCGGAAGAUAAACUACCAUACGUAAGCCAUAGUCAAGUAUGCAAUGAUGUGAAAGUACAUGACUAAUAGCAGCUAAGUAGUAAGGAUCAGGAUGGAAGAUAGUAUGAAGCCAAUCAAUAGUAGUAGUCAAGCAAUGAAGUCAAACAGGUACACAGAUAGGCAAUGACUUCAUGAAGACAAACUUAAGUAAAGGAAGGAAGAGGAUAGAACCAGUCACUUGUUGAAGACACAGGAUUUGUUGGACCAAUCCAGUUGCUGUGACAACUGUAUGUCUGGUUAGGGAGGCUGAGAUUCAACUCAGAAGACCGCGUCUUCACCUUAUUCCCCUUGACCUAAGGACACCUAGUCCACGCCCAAUCACUCUGGUAAGUCUUCAAGGUAGACUUCCAAACCUUCACAUACUUCGUUCACCGGCAAUCCACAAUGACUCUUGGAUGCUCAGAACGCGACGCCUAACCGGCUGGAGGAUACACAGUCCUCAAGUGUAAUAAGUCUUCAGGUCACACAGACAGAAAGACUUUAGUGAUGCCUAACACUCUUUGGCUCUGGGUGUUUGGGCUUGGUCCUCGCAAGGAUUUUUCUCUCUCAAAGGCUUUGAGGUGGGUUGCUCUCAAAAUGACAAAAGCCGUAGAAUAACUCUGAGCAGCCACCAAUUUAUGGUGUAGGGGGUGGGCUAUUUAUAGCCACUGGGCAACCCGACCUGAUAUAUCCGAAAUGACCCUGGGUCACUAAGGAACUAACACGUGUUCCAACGGUCAGAUUUCAAACACACACGACAACUUUACUUGGGCUACAAGCAAAGCUGACUUAUCCAGCUCAGGAUAAGAUUUGCUCUCAUUGUCUUUGCUCGAAGACAUAGGAUUUGGGUUGAGCAUCACUUCAGUCACUCUGACUUAGUUCACUUGGACCCCACUUAACAGUACGGUGGUUCCUAUGACUCAACAAAGAAGAAAAGGAAACAACAAAACAACACAGUCUUCGCGCUCCAUAGUCUUCACUCAAUGUCUUCUCAUGUCAUAGUCUUUAAUAUGAAUAUCUUCACAUACCACCAUUGUCUUCACUGUCUUCAUACAUUUUUAGGGGUCAUCUCCGGUAGGUAAACCGAAUCAAAGAGGGACACUACCUGCGUUAUCCUGCAAUUCUCACAAACGCAUUAGUCCCUCAACCAACUUUGUCGUCAAUACUCCAAAACCAACUAGGGGUGGCACUUGAUGCACUUACAAUCUCCCCCUUUUUGGUGAUUGAUGACAAACUGGUUGAAGUUUUCAACGGGGAUAAAGUAUGUGAAAUUGUAAAGGAUAGGGUAUUGUCUUCAUAAGUAGCAAGGGCUCCCCCUGAAGAUGUGCAUAUAAGUAAUUUGCUUUUGGAAUGCAAAUGCACAUGGCAGGUUGUACUUGUGGAGAUCCACUUCAACUUAUGAAGAUAAGUCAUCAUGCAUGAAAAUGAUAUAGCAAAUAGAAUGACAUGCAUAAUGAAAAAUGGAUGUCUGCAGAAUGAUCUAAGUGCGGAAGUUAUCAUCGCACAAGCGGAGUAAAGCAAAUAAGUAGCAGAGGACCAUCGAGUUUAAGUGUUACAACUCAAAGAGCCAAAUGUUUCAAAACGAGAGUUGUAAACACGAGGCAAAAUAUAAAGCAACCGCCCAUAUGAACCCGCUUGAAGACUAUCAACUCAUACGCUUCUCCCCCUUUUGUCGGUAAUGACCAAAAAGGUUUGAAGACAUAGAGCAUCUACUCGUCCUCAUGAGUAGGUGAAGCAGCAGGGUUGUCGUUGUUGCUUGGCAGUGCAAACGUACUUGGUGCAGUGUCGAUGCGUGCAGUAGUAGGAGGUGGUGAAGUAGCAUCAUCUUCAUCAUCGAUCACUCUUGCAUUCACAGUUGCCGUGGAGGAAGAAUAGACAGAGUCUUCAAGGGAUGGAGUUCGACGUAGGACAGCAGUUCGUGGAGGAGUGGAGUCAAACUGGAAUCUUUCAGUGAAGCCAUCGUCUUGAAGAUCUGCUUCAGCACUAAGCAAGGUCAAACUCUUCCAUGAUCGCCGGCAAGUCUCGUGAGCAACAAAUGCAUUCUUGGUGGCAAGAUUGCGAAUGCGAUUGACAUCCACCAAGAGGCUUUGCAUCUGAUGCUUGAGCCAAAAGUGAUGCUUAUCUUGUUUCUGAUGAAGAGCCACAAGAAGUUCUCGGUCAUUGAGGACCCGAGAGCGCUUCUUUGGCCUUUGAGCAAUGUUGCUUUCAGUGGCUUCAGUAGGUGCACGAUGAGGCAGACGAGUAUUCCCAGCCAUUGGAUAGAUACGUGUUACUGCUUGAGUGCCUUCCAUGGACUGAGUGAAGCUUUGGUGAUCAGGAUUUUGAAGACAAAGAGGCUCCUUGGCAGGCUCAGGGUAUAUAGCUUCAACUGACAUAUCAACCUCUAGUAAAAAGAUCAGAUGAUUGUGAGCAGAGGGCUCAUAGUUGACAAAAGAGUGUCGCUUGAUGAGGCGCAUGACCCAUGGAGCAUAAAACUUCAGACCAAAAAGGUCAGAUCCAGAAGCAGCAAGUUGCCUGAUGAAGAAUUCUUGAGAAUUGAAGCUGAUGCCAUUGAGGAUGUAGAAGACCAAUGUCUUCAUGGCUCCUUCAAGCUUUGCAGCUGAUGAAUGUCCUUUGAUAGGCCAUAGAGUUCGCCUGAUGAUAUGAUAUAUGGUGCGAGGCAGAUACUCAAGGUCUUCAACAAAGAACUCCGUUGGAUAUUUACCGUCAGACGGCAAAGGCUUCAUCAUGCUCAACAUAUGGCUCAUAUUGGGUUCAGGCUUGUGGAAGAUGCUCUCCUGUGCAUUGUGGUGUAGUUGACAGUCAGGUUCAUAGAGAUCUCCGGGAGUGGAUAGGCUAGUAAGCUCAAUGAUGUCAAGAGCUUUGGCUUCAUGAUGAACGUUUCCAGUCAUCCACUCGAGAACCCAUGUCUUGAUGUCUCUGUUCUAGCCGCGAAUGUGGAGGGUAGCAUAGAAUUGAAGUAAAAGUUCUUCAUUCGAAUGUACUUUGUCUGUCACAAAACUGAGUAGACCAGCAUCACGAAAACAGUCAAGUGCUUCUUCUAAGCAAGGCAGUCCAGCAAUGGCUUCAGUGUCGAGAAGCAUAUGAGGGAAGAUGCGCUCUUGAUCAUACAGAACACAUGAGUAAUAGCUUCGCUGCUGAUGACUCCAGAAACGAUCUGAUGAUAUUCUUGGCCUUGUGUAGGGGUUCUUUGAGCUGUCAAAGAAUGUGUUGUGGCUUUUGAAGCCAUUUGCAUUGAAGGACCCGACAGAUGUGGCAGUACCUGGAAACCUUGGCAGUCUUGGCUUUGGCUUCUGGACCUGAGGCCUAUGCUCAAUGUGAUAGUCAAAAUGAGGACCAGAGACAUUAGGCGGAGGGACCAGAACGGGCCAUCUUACUGUGACUAGCUCGCCAUGGUUGUAUGCUUGCUCAAUGGUAUAUGGCCUUGGUGGCGGAACAGGAGCAGUGGCAGCAGCUGGGGCUUCAGGCUGCACAACAGGUGCUUCGGGAGCAGUUGCCUCAUUGGUUUCAGGCACACUGGUUGGUUCAAGCUCCACAUUAGCUUCAGCCAUGACUACGUCAUUGGCUUCACUUGCGUUGGUAGUGGCAGCUUCAGGAUUUUCAACCUCCACUUGAUGAGCUGGAGGGUCGGGCACUGGCACGUUCACUUUAGGAACAUCUUCUUCAAUAACUGGGGGAGUAGGAACACGUACAUCUUCUUGUCUUUCAUCGGCUGAUGCAGCCGGAUUGUCUUCAGCAGCUUGGGCUUCAGACACGGAGACAUUCUCAGUUGGAGUGGCUUCAGGAAACACUUGACGUGCAACAGGUUGAGGAUGCACUUCUCCUUCUGGAACUCUCGGAAGAGGGACUUGAGGCCUUGGUCCUUUGCGAAGCCGUUGUAGGACAGGCGAUGCCUUGGGAGAUGGAGUAGGUAGGUCCUCAUCCUCUUCAACUUGAACAGAUGGUGUGGCUUGUUGUUGUUGUUGGGGAGUACUGGGGGAGUCUUGUUGUUGUGGGCGAUCAGCCCAUGAUGCAUCCUGAGCAAUUGGCGUCAGAGAACGACCAAUGCUGAUGAUUUCGCUGUUCGUGAGAAUAGGCGAUGAUACCACAUUGUAUUCAAUUUGAGGAAGAACUUCAUCAUCAUCUACAUUGUCAUGGUGACCAAUGUCUUCAGCAGUGAUGGGAUCAACUGCUGGAGUUUCUUCAGCUUCAGGAGCCUCUGUGGAAGCAGGCUCAUGAACAGUCAUACGUAGUUCUUGGGUUGCAGAUGUAGGACGAACAACUGAGAUGGUUUCAACAACAAGGGCCUCUGUGGGAGCAGCCCGACUUUUCUUGGUCUUGCGCUUCUUCUUGGAGGGAGCGGCUUCAGAGGCUUCAGUAUUCUUCCUCUUUCUGGCUUCAGCCUCGGCAUCCCUCGUCUUUCUCUGUUCUGAAGCGGUUGAUGAGACCUUUGGAUUCGAGCCAGUCAUGCUGCUUGGGAAGAUAAUAUGAGGUGCUUCUUGAGAUGAAGACUCAGGUUGGGCAGUAGAGAGCUUCUUCUUGUUCUUUGCAGCCAUCCCGGGGUCAAUGCCAGGACGGCCAAGAGACUUACGCUUCUUAGCCUCAUUGUAGGCAAGUACACACUUGUCAGCCAAACUCUUCAUACGCUCGCGAGAGCCUUGAGCUUCUUGGCGCUUCUUGAGAAAUGCUUCUUUAAGCUCAUGCAGCAUGACCUUGAAGUUUCUGACAUCUUGCACACUGAGCUUCGCCACAUGCUUCUUGAACUAAGCCUUCUCAUAAUCAAUUUUGUUCUUCAGCUCAACGAUGCGCUGAGCAAGAGCUAGCUCAGAAGCAAUGGCGCCAUUAAAGGAGACACUGAGGCCAAUGGGAAGCUGCAGAUCGUCAAAGCUGAGGUUUGGUGUAUCAAACCACUCAUCAAUGAAGUUAUGGAUGACUGCCACAUCGAAGAGAGGCAGGUUGUUGAAGAUCUCUGCUUCUUCCUUGCUUUUGAUCAAUUGCUCAAGGGCAUCAUCUGCAAGAUCUUCAUCGCUAGACAGAUCAAUGGGAUCUUCACGCAGAAUGGCAGUAGGAGUUAAGGUUUGAUCAGAAUGCCUGACAAUUUGCUUUUUCUUCUCCGUCUUCUUGGAGAUUCAGGAUUGAUCUUCAGACUGCACACUGUCUUCAGGAGGUGCAGUGGCCAGAGGCUUCACACGAGAAGCUUUCGGAGGUACAACUGAUGUUGAAGCCUUAACUUUCUUUGGCUUCUGGGGCCUUGGAGGAGGAGCUGGGGCUUCAUCAGUGUCAACAUCAUUAUCAGAAUGAUCUACCCUGGCACCUUGGACCAAGAUGUAGGUGAUGAGGCCAUCGAGGUUGGAGAAGGGGCCGAUGACAUUAGGAUUUGCAUCACGAGAGCCGUCGACACGAGGAGCAGAGGGACCAGGGUUGAAGUAUAAUCCCAAUGACUUCUUGUUUUCCUUGGCCGAAGCCUUGGCGUGCUGAAAGUUGCACUUGAAGAGAGCAUCAUCACGACACCAGAGUAAUGAUGUGGGAUCGGCAUUCUCAGGCUGAGGUCCACGGACCAUGCAGGGAUAGAAACCUUGUGCAAUAGCUUCAGCUCUGUUCUUGGGUUGAAGGCCUCGAUAGAGAAUAUCGCCCCAAGGAAUCUUGAUAGCAUUCUUCUCUGCAUAUUCCUUGGUCACGAACUUGUACUUGAACCAUUCUUCAGCCCAAUAGCGUCGAAUCCAUUAGAUUCGUGUCUUGCGCUGAUGAUAAUUCUCUUUAGGAUCUGUCUUGUAGAGCUCUGCUAGGUCAUCAGGCAGAUCUUUUGAUGUACCCCCUCGAUGCUGUCUGCCACCCUUCCUUACUGAUUUCUCUACAGCCAUGAACUUCAAACUGAAUGGCUUCAAUAUGUUCAAAGGCUUCAGAGGCUUACACUUGCUGGUCAAGCAGAAGCUGGCUUCAGGAGAAUUAAUGUGAUGCUGUAAGUAUUCUGCAAACGAAUGCAGACUAUGAGAACCAAGGGAUUCUCCCACGGACAUGUACCCGUGACAGCAUUAGAGAUGCGAGGGAAGGGGAAGAGGUCAUAUGCAUUCUCAGAAGAUUUUGAAGAUAAAUCAGUUUGAAGACAUUGACCUCAUGAUGCGAAGACAUCCACUUGUAUGUUGUGAGUUGGUUCCAGAUUUGUACGAAUCCGUGAAUAAGUACAAGUGAGGAAUCAAACUAGAUAUGAAACUUAAGUGAAUAGUCUAGGCAGUAUGAGAUGCAGACAGAAUAGAUCUAACAUUGUGUAGGCAGAAACCACUUUUGGUAAAUAGGAUAAAUCUUGAAGAUCAAAAAGGUGGUAAAAAUAGAGUUAUAAUUACCGCACGAAGAACUGCUAGAUGGUAUGAAUAGGAUACCGAGCAGUUCAGUCCACCGUGCCCUAACUUGGCGACGGAGGACACCUACGGCGACGGCGGAGAGGACGAUGUCCGCGGCCGGCGUGAGGACGGCGUCGGAGAAGUCGCGACAGCUAAGCGCUUCGUCGCCGGCGUCGUCGAGAGCUAGCGGUGGCGCUAGGGUUUUGACGAGGUGGAGAGGUGGAAGAAGGAUUUCUUACCGCAGGGGACAAGUAUUUAUAUGUAGGUGUGCAGCACAAUGCAAUUACGCUGGUGCCCCUGGCGGUUCACAUCUGAGGGGAACGUGGCAAGCAUGCAACAUACUCAGAGUUGUCCCACGUUCCCACGCCCGCCAGGCAUGUCGGAUGGUUGUUCUGGCUUCUCCGGAUUUCAACAGUAAAAAUGAGUUAUUUAAAAACAGACUUAAUGUUUGUCUCUGUGCCUUCUGCUGACUAGGACGCAGAGAAGACAUUCAACAGUUUCAAUAGAAUGCAUAUGAUUUGGAUAGAUAGAGUUUGAGAUUGAAAGCAUAGAGAAGUUAGGGUCCUAUCACAUUCACUUAGUUCAGAAGAUUCAACUUGAAGACAUAGCUAUAAGUGAAUGCUGUAGAGGACAGAACACUAGUGUAUAUAUGUUUCAGAAAGCAAUCAAAUCAUCAUAGUGAAGGAAAUCAUGAAGAUAAAUUGAAACUGAAGACAUACCAAAUGCAGAGUCAUUGCAAAAAUAACGCCAUGAGUGAAACACUUCAAACAGAGAAAUUUGGUGGUGGCGUUUCCCACCGUAUAGGAAGUAUUAGACCCAGACACGGCGCACAAUUAUCGUGGCGCUCCGAAGUCAAAUUCCAUGUUAAUGUAUUCACACUCAGAUUGUAAGUCUUCAUUGAUUGAAGAUAUACAUUACUUUGUGUGUUGCACAUCUAAGUCAUCAACAUGCAUAAGUGUUAGGAUGUGUGCCUGAUCACAGGACAUUUGAGGAUUCCAAGAUAUUUAGCUCACACCAUAACUUGUAAAACCUUUUCUCAUCCAAGGGCUUUGUGAAGAUAUCUACGAGUUGCUCUUCAGUGUUGACGUGAAUGAUGUCGAUAUCUUUCUUCAUGACAUGAUCUCUGAGAAAGUGAUGACGAAUUUCAAUGUGCUUUGUCUUCGAGUGCUGGACUGGAUUGUUGGCUAUCUUGAUGGCACUUUCAUUGUCGCAGAAGAGAGGUACUUGUUUCAGAUUGAUGCCAUAGUCCUUGAGAGUUUGCUUCAUCCAGAGAAGCUGAGCACAACAAGAUCCAGCAGCAAUGUAUUCAGAUUCAGCAGUUGAGAGUGAUACACAGUUCUGCUUCUUUGAAGACCAACAGACAAGUGAUCGACCCAGAAAGUGACAUGUGCCUGAUGUAGACUUGCGAUCCACCUUGUCACCAGCAUAAUCAGCAUCCGAGAAUCCAACCAAAUCAAAUUUUGAGCCCUUGGGAUACCAUAAUCCGAGUGUUGGGGUGUAGGCCAAAUAUCAAAGAAUUCGCUUCACAGCUAAGUGAUGCGAUUCCUUUGGUGCCGCUUGGAAUCGAGCACACAUGCAAACACUAAGCAUAAUAUCUGGCCUUGAUGCACAUAGAUAAAGUAAAGAACCAAUCAUGGAGCGGUAUACCUUUUGGUCGAACUCUUUACCAUUGUCGUUGGGACCAAGAUGGUGUUUGGCUGGCAUUGCCGUCGUGUAGGCUUUGCAGUCUUCCAUUCCAAACUUCUUCAGACAAUCUUUGAGGUAUUUUUCUUGAGAUAUGAAGAUGCCAUUGCUUUGCUGACGAAUUUGAAGACCAAGGAAGAACUUCAACUCAUCCAUCAUGGACAUCUGAUAUUGCUCUUGCAUCAUGUAGCCAAACUCAUCAGUAUACUUCUGGUUGGUGCAACCGAAGAUUAUGUCAUCCACAUAUAUUUGGCACACAAACAGUUCACCAUCAUAUGUCUUCGUGAAGAGUGUGGGAUUGAGGGAUCCAGGUUUGAAGCCUUUGCUCUUCAGGAAGUCUUUGAUCAUAUCAUACCAUGCACGAGGAGCUUGUUUGAGGCCAUAUAGUGCUUUGUUUAGCUUGUAUACCAUAUCAGGAUGUUUUGGAUCUUUAAAGCCAGGUGGUUGAGCGACAUAUACUUCUUCUUCAAUCUUGCCAUUGAGAAAUGCACUCUUCACAUCCAUUUGAUAUAGCAAGAUGUUGUGAUGAUUAGCAUAGGCUAGCAGUAUGCGGAUAGCUUCAAGCCUAGCCACAGGAGCAAAUGUUUCAUCGAAGUCAAUUCCUUCUACCUGAGUAUAUCCUUGAGCCACAAGACGUGAUUUGUUUCUGACGACUUGACCAUGCUCAUCUUGCUUGUUUCGAUAUAUCCAUUUUGUUCCAAUAAUGUUAUGCUUGCGAGGGUCAGGUCGCUUGACAAGAUCCCAAACAUUGUUUAGCUUGAACUGUUGAAGUUCUUCUUGCAUAGCUUGAAUCCAUUCAGGUUCCAUAAAGGCUUCAACAACUUUCUUGGGUUCUGAUAUUGACACAAAUGAAAAGUUCCCACAGAAUUUUGCUAACUGUGUUGCCUUUGAGCGAGUGAGUGGACCAGGUGCAUUGAUGCUAUCAAUUAUCUUCUCAAUUUGUACUUCAUUUGCAACACAAGGAUGAACAGGAUGAAGAUUUUGCUCUUGCUGAUCAUUGUCAUCAUUGGGAGGAUUAUCUUCGGUCUGAGCAUUGUCUUCAUGUUGGUUAGGGGCAGAAAUGACAAGUUCCUCUUUAGGCUGAGCUUCAGAGGGCAUGAUUUCACCAGUUCCCAUCAGCUUGAUAGAUUCGCUUGGAGGAGCUUCAUUAAGUGUACUCGGCAGGAGUUCUCUUUGUGAACCAUUGGUUUCAUCGAAUCUCACAUCCACAGUUUCGACGAUCUUGUAUAGAUAGAGGUUGAAGACUCUGUAGGAGUGAGAGUCCUUUCCAUAGCCAAGCAUGAAGCCUUCGUGAGCCUUAGGUGCAAACUUCGACUUGUGAUGGGGAUCCUUGAUCCAGCAUCUAGCACCAAAGACCUUGAAGUAGCUGACAUUUGGCUUCUUGCCAGUAAGGAGCUCAUAGGAUGUUUUGUUCAGAAGCUUAUGGAUGUAGACACGGUUGAUGACGUGACAUGCUGUAUCAAUAGCUUCAGGCCAGAACUUUCUUGGUGUCUUGUACUCAUCGAGCAUUGUUCGAGCCAUCUCAAUUAGAGUUCUGUUCUUGCGCUCAACGGUGCCAUUUUGCUGAGGUGUGUAUGGAGCAGAGAACUCAUGAGUGAUUCCCAUUGUAUCCAGAUAAAGAUCAAGUCCGGUGUUCUUGAAUUCAGUGCCAUUAUCACUUCUGAUAUGCUUGAUCUUCACGCCAUAAUUGUUCAUUGCUCGAUUGGCGAAUCGUUUGAAGACAUCUUGUACUUCAGUCUUGUAGAGAAUUAUAUGCACCCAUGUGUAUCUUGAGUAGUCAUCAACAAUGACGAAGCCAUACAAACAAGCAGUUGUUGUGAGGGUGGAGUAGUGAGUAGGUCCAAAUAAGUCCAUGUGUAACAGCUCGAAGGGUUGAGAUGUUGUCAUGAUUGUCUUCGAGGGGUGCUUUUCCCUAGUCAUCUUCCUAGCUUCACAGGCACCACACAAAUGAUCUUUCUUGAACUUGACAUCCUCGAUGCCAAUGACAUGCUUCUUCUUGACGAGUGUGUGUAAGUUCCUCAUGCUAGCGUGUCCCAGCCUUCGAUGCCAGAGCCAGCAUUCCGAAGCUUUUGUGAGAAGACAUACGGCAAGCUGUGGACCUGCUAAGAAAUCUACCAUGUAUAGAUCAUCUUUCCUAUAUCCUUCAAAGACUAGAGACUUGUCAGAUUCCAUUAGUACAGGCAACGAUAUUUUCCAAAUAGCACAGUCAUGUUUAAGUCACAAAGCAUUGAGACAGCCAUUAAGUUGAACCCAAGGGAUUCAACAAGCAUCACUUUAUCCAUGUGUUGAUCCUUAGAGAUUGCAACUCUACCUAGACCCAAUACCUUGCUUUUACCAGUGUCAGCAAAUGUGAUUUGACUCUUGUCGGAUGGACGUAAGGUUGAGUCCAUGAGAAGACUGCGAUCACCAGUCAUAUGAUUAGUGCAUCCGCUGUCAAUAAUCCAUUCUGAAGCUUUUGGUGACAUGCCCUACAGUGCAGUUAGGAGGAUAGGCUUCACAAGGUAUGUUGUGAAGCAUAAGCAUUUGACGCACACUUGGAUUAUCACAGCAUAGAUCAAGAUUAGAACACACAGUAUGACAGGUAAGAGAUUCAUAUGUGGAAUACAUAGUAAGUCAUUUUAUCAUGCGUCCCUUUAUGUUUUAGGUCCCCAGCAAUAAUAUCGGACGCCAUUGAUUGCUGGCUGGAGACCACAUUCUGCAAAAGAGAGUUAAUUCUUCUUCACCACCCACAUUUUUAGGGGUGGCUUAGAAGCAAUGAGUCUAAGUGCAGCAGCUGAGAAUUUCGGCUUUGAAGCCCUAGCAGAUAGCCUUGCAGGAGAUGAAUGAUACUCAUGUGAAUAAGCAGAAAAGUUCUUAGUUCUAUGAACAUAGCGGUUUGAAGACACAUGCUCAUAUUCAUGAGUUUGAGUAUGAUUUCCCUGCAAAACAUUGGCGUUAGGGUGACUCAAGUGAGUCCUGUAUUCGUAUGAAGCCGUUGGACCAUAUGAUGCCUUUGGUCUGGGGUUUGUCUUCUUCCCAGGUGGUGUCAUGAUGACAUUCACUGGAAGAUUCUCAAGGCAGCUUUUGGGAACCCAGAUCUUCUUCAUAGGUGAUCCAUUCCUGCAGUUAGUACCAAUAUACCUGGCAAACACUUCACCAUUCUGAUUUUUGAACAGUUUAUAGUUUGCAUCAAAGGAUUCAUCAAUGAUAAUAGGAUUAGCACAGGUAAAUCCAGAUAAAGUGGACGGAUCCACUGAAGGUUCCUUUGCAGCAACCCAUGUGGUUUUGGGAUACUGCUCACGCUUCCAGUAGGAACCAUCAGCAUUCAUUUUCCUCUCGAACCCAACACCCUCUUUCCUAGGGUUUCGGUUCAGAAUCUGCUUUUUGAGGACAUUGGAGAGUGUCUGAUGUCCCUUCAAACUUUUGUACAUCCUGUUUCAAGCAAUGUCUUCAACCUAGCAUUUUCAUCAGUAAUAGUAGUGGUAUCCUCCGUAGAGGGGUUAGUAACCACAUUAGUAGUUGAAGACAAUGAAACAACAGCAGCAGUGGAACAUCCAGCAACAGAUGUAGCGUUAUCACGCUCAAUGCAUUUUAGACAUGGUGGUUCAAAUCCAUCCUGAGCGGGACUGAUCUAUUGAGCGCGAAGUGACUCAUUCUCUUUUUGAAGAUCUUCAUGAGCCGCUUUCAAUUUCUCAAGCUCUUGCUUCCUUUGAAGAUAAUCAUAGGAGAGCUUUUCAUAUGUGGUUGAGAGAGUCUCAUGAAGACUUUCAAGUUCUUGGUACUUAGCAUGAAGAUUUUUUAUGUCUUCUACUAAGGACUGUGAACGUGUCAUUUCCGCGUCCAACUGGUCAUCGCUUUUGUCUAACAGUUUUUGAGUAUGUUCCAUAGCCCUUUGUUGUUCAGUAGCAAUUUUAGCAAGUGUUUUGUAGUUGGGUUUGGAUUCACAAUCAGAGUCAUCUUCACUUGAUGUUUGAAAGUAAGCAUUGCGUGAUUUUACCUUGGCACCACGUGCCAUGAAGCAGUAGGUGGGAGCAGGAUUGUCCAUGUCAUCAGCUUCAGCGUUGGUGUGGAAGUCAUUGCCUGCAGUGUUGAAGAUGGACUUGGAAACAUAGGCUGUGGCACGAGCCAGACUUGCAACGCCAGGGUCAGACUCUUCUCCAGACUCCACCUCCGCCUCCUCAGAAGCAGACUCCUCCUCUGAAUCCAUUUCCUUGCCAACAAAGGCACGAGCCUUGCCAGAUGAGCUCUUCUUGUGUGAUGAAGACUUGGAAGAAGACUUAGAGGAAGACUUUGAGGAUUUCUUCUUCUUCUUGUCAUCAGAAUCAUAUUCCUUGCUCUUCUUCUUCUUCUUCUUCUUCUCAUUGUCCCACUGUGGACACUCAGAUAUGUAGUGACCAGGUUUCUUGCACUUGUGGCAAGUUCUCUUCUUGUGGUCAUGGGUGGAAGCUUCAUCAUUCUUGGAACUAGACCGUGAAGACUUUCUGAAGCCCUUCUUCUUGGUGAACCUCUGAAACUUCUUCACAAGCAUGGCAAGUUCCUUUCCAAUGUCUUCAGGAUCAUCAGAACCACAGUCAGAUUCUUCUUCAGAUGAGGAAACCACUUUUGCCUUCAAGGUGCGAGUUCGGCCAUAAUUGGGACCAUAGAUAUCUCUUUUCUCAGAAAGCUGGAACUCAUGUGUGUUGAGCCUCUAAAGUAUAUCAGACGGAUCGAGUGUCUUGAAGUCAGGACGUUCUUGUAUCAUGAGGGAAAGGGUGUCAAAGGAGCUGUCAAGUGAUCUUAGUAGUGUCUUGAUGAUUUCAUGCUUGGUGAUCUCAGUGGCACCAAGAGCUUGAAGUUCAUUUGUGAUGUCAGUCAGACGAUCAAAUGUGAGCUGGACAUUUUCAUUGUUGUUUCUCUUGAAGCGGUUGAAGAGGUUGCGAAGAACACUGAUCCUUUGAUCUCUCUGGGUUGAGACGCCUUCAUUGACCUUGGAUAGCCAGUCCCAGACUAGCUUCGACGUUUCCAGAGCACUCACAUGGCCAUACUGUCCUUUGGUCAGAUGACCACAGAUGAUGUUCUUAGCAGUAGAGUCCAGUUGAAUGAACUUCUUGACAUCAGUGGGGGUGACACCUUCACCAGUUUUGGGAACGCCGUUCUUGACGACAUACCAGAGGUCGACAUCAAUGGCUUCAAGAUGCAUGCGCAUCUUAUUCUUCCAGUAGGGAUAUUCAGUUCCAUCGAACACGGGGCAAGCAACGGAGACUUUGAUUAUCCCUGCAGUCAACAUAGCUGAAACUCCAGGUGGUUGAACCGAAUCACACAGAACAAGGGAGUACCUUGCUCUGAUACCAAUUGAAAGUGCUAGUAUCGACUAGAGGGGGGGGGGGUGAAUAGGUGAUUAUUAUGAAAGUCUUCAAAACUUGGAAGUUUCGAAGACAAACAAUAGAAAUGACCUAGUUAAUAUGCAGCGGAAGAUAAACUACCAUACGUAAGCCAUAGUCAAGUAUGCAAUGAUGUGAAAGUACAUGACUAAUAGCAGCUAAGUAGUAAGGAUCAGGAUGGAAGAUAGUAUGAAGCCAAUCAACAGUAGUAGUCAAGCAAUGAAGUCAAACAGGUACACAGAUAGGCAAUGACUUCAUGAAGACAAACUUAAGUAAAGGAAGGAAGAGGAUAGAACCAGUCACUUGUUGAAGACACAGGAUUUGUUGGACCGGUUCCAGUUGCUGUGACAACUGUACGUCUGGUUAGGGAGGAUGAGAUUCAACUCAGAAGACAGCGUCUUCACCUUAUUCCCCUUGAGCUAAGGACACCUAGCCCACGCCCAAUCACUCUGGUAAGUCUUCAAGGUAGACUCCCAAACCUUCACAGACUUCGUUCACCGGCAAUCCACAAUGACUCUUGGAUGCUCAGAACGCGACGCCUAACCGACUGGAGGAUACACAGUCCUCAAGUGUAAUAAGUCUUCAGGUCACACAGACAGAAAGACUUCAGUGAUGCCUAACACUCUUUGGCUCUGGGUGUUUGGGCUUGGUCCUCGCAAGGAUUUUUCUCUCUCAAAGGCUUCGAGGUGGGUUGCUCUCAAAACGACAAAAGCCGUAGAAUAACUCUGAGCAGCCACCAAUUUAUGGUGUAGGGGUGGGCUAUUUAUAGCCACUGGGCAACCCGACCUGAUAUGUCCGAAAUGACCCUGGGUCACUAAGGAACUGACACGUGUUCCAACGGUCAGAUUUCAAACACACACGGCAACUUUACUUGGGCUACAAGCAAAGCUGACUUAUCCAGCUCAGGAUAAGAUUUGCUCUCAUUGUCUUCGCUCGAAGACAUAGGAUUUGGGUUGAGCAUCACUUCAGUCACUCUGACUUAGUUCACUUGGACCCCACUUAACAGUACGGUGGUUCCUAUGACUCAACAAAGAAGAAAAGGAAACAACGAAACAACACAGACUUUGCGCUCCAUAGUCUUCACUCAAUGUCUUCUCAUGUCAUAGUCUUCAAUAUGAAUAUCUUCACAUACCACCAUUGUCUUCACUGUCUUCAUACAUUUUUAGGGGUCAUCUCCGGUAGGUAAACCGAAUCAAAGAGGGACACUACCUGCGUUAUCCUGCAAUUCUCACAAAUGCAUUAGUCCCUCAACCAACUUUGUCGUCAAUACUCCAAAACCAACUAGGGGUGGCACUUGAUGCACUUACAGUAUGCAUACGUGAGACAGGUUCCACCGACUGACAUGCACUAGUUGCAUAAGGUGGCUAGCGGGUGUCUGUCUCUCCCACUUUAGUUGGAGCGGAUUCGAUGAAAAGGGUCCUUAUGAAGGGUAAAUAGAAAUUGGCAUAUCACGUUGUGGUUUUACGUAGGUAAGAAACGUUCUUGCUAGAAACCUAUAGAAGCCACGUAAAAACUUGCAACAACAAUUAGAGGACUUCUAACUUGUUUUUGCAGCAUAUUCCUUGUGAUGUGAUAUGGCCAAAAGGAUGUGAUGAAUGAUAUAUGUGAUGUAUGAGAUUGAUCAUGUUCUUGUAAUAGGAAUCACGACUUGCAUGUCCAUGAGUAUGACAACCGGCAGGAGCCAUAGGAGUUGUCUUUAUUUUUUUGUAUGACCUGCGUGUCAUUGAAUAACACCAUGUAAAUUACUUUACUUUAUUGCUAAACGCGUUAGCCAUAGAAGUAGAAGUAGUCGUUGGUGUGACAACUUCAUGAAGACACGAUGAUGGAGAUCAUGAUGAUGGAGAUCAUGGUGUCAUGCCAGUGACGAAGAUGAUCAUGGCGCCCCGAAGAUGUAGAUCAAAGGAGCAAUAUGAUAUUGGCCAUAUCAUGUCACUAUUUGAUUGCAUGUGAUGUUUAUCAUGUUUUACAUUUUAUUUGCUUAGAACGACGAUAGCUUAAAUAAGAUGAUCCCUUGAAAUAAUUUCAAGAAAAGUGUUCCCCCUAACUGUGCACUGUUGCGAAGGUUCGUUGUUUCGAAGCACCACGUGAUGAUCGGGUGUGAUAGAUCCUAACAUUUGAAUACAACGGGUGUAAGCCAGAUUUACAAACGCAAUACACUUAGGUUGACUUGAUGAGCCUAGCAUGUACAUACAUGGCCUCGGAACACGGAAGACCGAAAGGUCGAGCAUGAGUCGUAUAGAAGAUACGAUCAACAUUAAGAUGUUCACCAAUGAUGACUAGUCCGUCUCACGUGAUUAUCGGACACGGCCUAGUUGACUCGGAUCAUGUUUCACUUAGAUGACUAGAGAGAUGUCUGUCUGAGUGGGAGUUCAUUGAAUAAUUUGAUUAGAUGAACUUAAUUAUCAUGAACUUAGUCUAAAAACCUUUGCAAAAUGUCUUGUAGAUCAAAUGGCCAACACUCAUGUCCACCUCAACUUCAACGCGUUCCUAGAGAAAACCAAGCUGAAAGAUGAUGGCAGCAACUAUACAGACUCGGUCCGGAACCUGAGGAUCAUCCUCAUAGCUGCCAAGAAAGAUUAUGUCCUAGAAGCACCGCUAGGUGAAGCACCCAUCCCAGAGAACCAAGACGUUAUGAACGCUUGGCAGUCUCGUGCUGAUGAUUACUUCCUCGUUCAGUGCGGCAUGCUUUACAGCUUAGAACUGGAUCUCCAAAAGCGUUUUGAGCAACACGGAGCAUAUGAGAUGUUCGAAGAGAUGAAAAUGGUUUUCCAAGCUCAUGCCCGGGUCGAGAGAUAUGAAGUCUCCGACAAGUUCUUCAGUUGUAAGAUGGAGGAAAAUAGUUCUGUCAGUGAGCACAUACUCACAAUGUCUGGGUUGCACAACCGCUUGACUCAGCUGGGAGUUAAUCUCCCGGAUGACACGGUUAUUGACAAAAUCCUUCAGUCGCUUCCACCGAGCUACAAGAGCUUUGUGAUCAACUUCAAUAUGCAGGGGAUGGAAAAGACCAUUCCUGAGGUAUAUUGAAUGUUGAAAUCAGCGGAGGUAGAGAUCAAAAAGGAACAUCAAGUGUUGAUGGUGAAUAAAACCACUGAGUUCAAGAAAGGCAAGGGUAAGAAGAACUUCAAGAAGGACGGCAAGGGAGUUGCCGCGCCCGGUAAGCCAGUUGUCGGGAAGAAGUCAAAGAAUGGACCCAAGCCUGAGACUGAGUGCUUUUAUUGCAAGGGAAGUGGUCAUUGGAAGCGGAACUGCCCCAAGUACUUAGCGGACAAGAAGGCCGGCAACACCAAAGGUAUAUGUGAUAUACAUGUUAUUGAUGUGUACCUUACCAACACUCGUAGUAGCUCCUGGGUAUUUGAUACCAGUGCGGUUGCUCAUAUUUGUAACUCAAAGCAGGAGCUGCGGAAUAAGCGGAGACUGGCGAAGGACGAGGUGACGAUGCGCGUCGGGAAUGGUUCCAAGGCCGAUGUGAUCGCUAUCGGCAUGCUACCUCUACAUUUACCUACGGGAUUAGUUUGAAACCUCAAUAAUUAGUGCUAGCUUUGAGCAUGAACAUUGUAUCAGGAUCUCGUUUAAUUCGAGAUGGCUACUCAUUUAAAUCCGAGAAUAAUGGUUGUUCUAUUUAUAUGAGAGAUAUGUUUUAUGGUCAUGCCCCGCUGGUGAAUGGUUUAUUCUUAAUGAAUCUCGAGCGUAAUGUUACAAAUAUUCAUAGUGUUGCUGUGAAGCCUCGCUGCUGUUGCAAUGUUCUUUGAAGAUAUCGUCAGCAUCCAGUGGUUGGAAAUCUAGUUGUUGUAGUUUAUUUUGCACCCUCUAUUUAGGUAAAAUUAAUUUUAAUCGCAUGCACUGGUCUGAAUUGAUCAUCAAUGGUUCAUCUAAACUAAUGAAAGAAGGGUGUGUGCAUACAUGACAAUAUAUCUGCUUCCCUCUAUUUUUAUGCUUGUUCGAGAUGCCAGCCCCAGAAGAACAAAUAUUUUGCUUGAUGGGGUUGGCAGCUCCAUAAUUAAUAGAAGCAUCAAAUUAGUCAUGCAACUUGGGAAGAUCAAGAACACACAUAGAAGUAAUGAACAGAGGCUCGGAGCAGUGAUGCAAUAGCUAGCAUCAGAAAAUGUUUGGUAAAACAGACAAAAAGCAGCGGAACCAGAUGCUAGUUUGCUGAUGUGUAAUUAAGCAUAGAGAACAUGAAGCAGUCUGAUGGAACCAACAGGUGGCAUCAGAACAACACCAUCAUCAUAAAUAUAGCAUGCAAGAAGUAAAAUAGUAGGCAGUGAUAUCUAGGAAGUACAAUAAUACUUAGGACAAAACUAAAGCAUAUUAACUAUAUGUGCACUGGUAUGUAAUUUAGCACAUGUAACAUGUUCACUGCCAGAAGUAUGGCCCUACAGGUGCAAGCAGAAUAACGCGUCUCAUGAAAAAUUGAAUGAUGCCCUGAAGAAAUUCAAAUGUGCGGUGCUUAUGCUAAGAAAGUGAACGUAGGCGCCGGCCGUUGGAUAGUAGUACCUGAUUCUCGGUGGCGUAUGGGUAUUGUUGUCAUACUUGAUAGCUAAGAAUCAUCGAUGGUGCUCGUGUUGCGAUUGAGUUUGGGCCAGCUGUCGCCGUCGCUGAAGCGGCUCCGGUGCUACGGUUGCGGCGCCUAUUGACAUACAAGAAAGCUCAUUUGUGGUAAGUGAACAGUUGCACGACAAAGAGAAAAACUGAAGGAGUACAAAUCAAAAUAACCUAAUGAGGCUGCAGCGUCAAUAAAGUAGGGACAGUGGAGUUGAAUAUGGCGUCCGUGGAGCGGGUCCGGUGCAGCGGACGAAGGCUUCGGCAUGCGCGUUGUACAGUGCUUUCGGUGAGGCGGAUCUAUUGCGGCGGACAGGGGCUUGUAUGAAGGGUCGGCGAUGGGCCGAGGGACUUAGUGAAGGGCCUACACUGUGGUGGACGAGGGCGCCAGUUAAGCAGAUUCGGUGCGGUGGAACAUGAUGGCGGUCAAGGAGAUCUGGAGCAGUGGACAAGCCAGUCGCUGAAGCGGCUCCGGUGAAGUGGUGAGUUGGCAGUUGGGGUUCCAAGGUGCGGAAGGUAGAUCCGACAGGGUGUGAGGUCCACCUCUGCGACGGAGGACUAGAUUCAGCGGCUUGCCGUGGUUGGGGGGGGGGGUCGAGGACGGGAAGGGGAGGGGCUUUGGGGAAGAAUGUUGGGGGCAAAGAGGGGAAAACAAUGGAGUUAACAAAGCAGCCCUUUUCCGUUCAUGUGGCAGGGGUAUAACAGGAAUAUCACAGGGCUAAACUUUCGGGUGCGAGAUAUUUCGAUGUGAGCGGGAAGUUUGAAAGCUUUUGGCGCCUAAAAUUAUAUUCUGCUCUUGUACGGCCGACUAUGAUAUCAUGGCCGAGAAUUUGUUUGUUUUGCACGCAAAAAAAGUGCAAGUUUUGAAAAUCAAUGUCUCCAACUCGAAACUUACAUUGUCCAUUCAAUUCAAAUAUAGAUCAUUGAGCUAGUACAAGCAAAUACCAUCAUACGGUCCAAUUCAAAUGGAAUUCCAAAUGUGUUUAUCCUAAAUAUGAUGACAAAAGCAAAAAUGUGUAUGUGUAUGAAUAAAGUGGAUGAUUAUAAAGUUUGAACAUGCCCGUAUGUGUAUAUCUCUAGGUUUGAUACAUGGAUUUGAGAUCACGAAAUCCCGCUUAAAAAAUGUACCUCCAUUUAAAUGAAUUACAAAAGCUAAUGAUGGAAUCGAAUUCUAAAAUUCCAAUCUUAGGUUUGUAAUUCUGGUACAUCAAGGUAUAUCACGCAUGUUCAAAAGUAUCGUUAUCUCAUAGUCCAAACUGUGAAACGAAUUGAUCAACCAUGAGUGCACACACUAUUGACCAUAUAUAUCUCAAUUACGCUAAAGUCCCUCAAAUAUAGACACCCCAGUCUUUAUCUGAAGCCACCCCCCACACACAAAGAUGUCGUUCUCUCCCCCAGACACGAACACACAAGCACAUUAACACCCCUCUCUCUUCUAAAGUCCGGACCCCAAUAUAGGUCUCUAUCACUUUGUCUCUCGGGCAUGAACACAUCUCUUCCCCCACUCUCUAGGUCUCCCGACAUCUCUCUUUCCCAAGCACACACACUAUGUAGAGUGUAUCUUUCCCAUACACACAAAACGUCGCCCCCAAAUGUCUAUCUCCCUAAUUAUGUGGUUCUCGCACACUCACCUCACACACCACCCCCACUGCAAACAAGCACACUUUGUCUCCUUGUGCACCACUCUCCUCUUUCUAUCUCUCCCACAUGCGGACCCGCCCCAGCUCCUUCCCUGUAUACAUAUAUGUUGUGACUCUUUCCAUAGCUCCCUAAUGUAUCAUCGUUCUCAAUCUCGCACAUUAUUCUCUACACCAUCUAUUCUAGAUCUCUCAUGAAGUCCCUAUCACACACACACACACACACGAUGACUCGCUUCCCUUGCGUCUCCGUACAUAGGCUAAUUUCGAACAACAUCAACAUUGUCUCCCUAUCUAUACACCAUUUAUGGACACAAACGACCCCUCUCUCACCCCCUCUCUUCCUCUCUUUCUCUCUCUCCGUCGCUAGCUCUCUCUCUCUCUCUCUCUCGCUCGCUCUCACACCCCUCUCCCACGCACACUCGAUGUCUCUUCCAAAUAGUCUGCUCCCCUCGCCCGCACCCAUGCUAUCCCGCUACUAUAUGUUGGAAAUAUGCCUUAGAGGCAAUAAUAAAAUGGUUAUUAUUAUAUUUCUCUGUUCAUGAUAAUUGUCUAUUGUUCAUGCUAUAAUUGUAUUAUCCGGAAAUCAUAAUACAUGUGUGAAUACAUAGACCACAACAAGUCCCUAGUGAGCCUCUAGUUGACUAGCUCAUUGAUCAACAGAUAGUCAUGGUUUCCUGACUAUGGACAUUGGAUGUCAUUGAUAACGGGAUCACAUCAUUAGGAGAAUGAUGUGAUGGAUAAGACCCAAUCCUAAGCAUAGCACAAAGAUCGUGUAGUUCGUUUAGCUAGAGCUUUUCCAAAUGUCAAGUAUCAUUUCCUUAGACCAUGAGAUUGUGCAACUCCCAGAUACCAUAGGAGUUCUUUGGUUGUGCCAAACAUCACAACGUAACUGGGUGACUAUAAAGGUGCACUACGGGUAUCUCCGAAAGUGUCUGUUGGGUUGGCACGAAUCGAGACUAGGAUUUGUCACUCCGUAUGACGGAGAGGUAUCUCUGGGCCCACUCGGUAAUGCAUCAUCAUAAUGAGAUCAAUGUGACCAAGUGUUUGGUCACAGGAUCAUGCAUUACGGCACGAGUAAAGUGACUUGCCGGUAACGAGAUUAAACGAGGUAUUGGGAUACCGACGAUCGAAUCUCGAGCAAGUAACAUACCGAUUGACAAAGGGAAUUGUAUACGAGAUUGAUUGAAUCCUCGACAUCGUGGUUCAUCCGAUGAGAUCAUCGAGGAGUGUGUGGGAGACAACAUGGGUAUCCAGAUCCCGCUAUUGGUUAUUGACCGGAGAGGCGUCUCGGUCAUGUCUGCAUGUCUCCCGAACCCGUAGGGUCUACACACUUAAGGUUCGGUGACGCUAGGGUUGUAGAGAUAUAAGUAUGCAGUAACCCGAAAGUUGUUCAUAGUCCCGGAUGAGAUCUCGGACGUCACGAGGAGUUCCGGGAUGGUCCGGAGGUGAAGAUUUAUAUAUGGGAAGUUCAGUUUCGGCCAUCGGGAAAGUUUCGGGGGUCACCGGUAUUGUACCGGGACCACCAGAAGGGUCCCGGGGGUCCACCGGGUGGGGCCACCUAUCCCGGAGGGCCCCAUGGGCUGAAGUGGGAGGGGAACCAGCCCCUGGUGGGCUGGUGCGCCCCCCCUUGGCCCCCCUGCGCCUAGGGUUGGAAACCCUAGGGGUGGGGGCGCCUCCACUUGCCUUGGGGGCAAGCCAACCCUUUGGCCGCCACCCCCCCUUGGAGAUCCCAUCUCCUAGGUCCGCCCCCCCCAGGGGGCCUAUAUAAAGAGGGGGGAGGGAGGGUAGCCGCACCCCAAGUCUUUGGCGGCUCCCUCUCCCCAUGCACCACCUCUCCCUCUCGCAGAAGCUUGGCGAAGCCCUGCCGAGAUCGCUACUGCAUGCACCACCACGCCGUCGUGCUGCUGGAUCUUCAUCAACCACUCCUUCCCCCUUGCUGGAUCAAGAAGGAGGAGCCGUCUUCCCAACCGUAUGUGUGUUGAACAAGGAGGUGCCGUCCGUUCAGCGCUAGGAUCUCCGGUGAUUUGGAUCACGACGAGUACGACUCCCUCAACCCCGUUCUCUUGAACGCUUCCGCUCGUGAUCUACAAGGGUAUGUAGAUGCAAUCCUGUCUCUCGUUGCUAGAUGACUCCAUAGAUUGAUCUUGGUGAAGCAUAGAAUUUUUUUAUUUUCCGCAACAUUCCCCAACAGUGGCAUCACGAGUUAGGUCUAUGCGUAGUUAUUAUGUACGAGUAGAACACAAAGCAGUUGUGGGCGUAGAUGUUAUCAAUUUUCUUGCCACUACUAGUCUUAUCUUGCUUCGGCGGCAUCGUGGGAUGAAGCGGCCUGGACCGACCUUACAUGUACGUGAAAGUGCUAGUAUCGACUAGAGGGGGGGGGGGGGUGAAUAGGCGAUUUUUAUGAAAGUCUUCAAAACUUGGAAGUUUCGAAGACAAACAACAGAAAUGACCUAGUUAAUAUGCAGCGGAAGAUAAACUACCAUACGUAAGCCAUAGUCAAGUAUGCAAUGAUGUGAAAGUACAUGACUAAUAGCAGCUAAGUAGUAAGGAUUAGGAUGGAAGAUAGUAUGAAGCCAAUCAACAGUAGUAGUCAAGCAAUGAAGUCAAACAGGUACACAGAUAGGCAAUGACUUCAUGAAGACAAACUUAAGUAAAGGAAGGAAGAGGAUAGAACCAGUCACUUGUUGAAGACACAGGAUUUGUUGGACCAAUUCUAGUUGCUGUGACAACUGUACGUCUGGUUAGGGAGGCUUAGAUUCAACUCAGAAGACCGCGUCUUCACCUUAUUCCCCUUGAGCUAAGGACACCUAGUCCACGCCCAAUCACUCUGGUAAGUCUUCAAGGUAGACUUCCAAACCUUCACAGACUUUGUUCAGCGGCAAUCCACAAUGACUCUUGGAUGUAAGAACGCGACGCCUAACCGGCUGGAGGAUACACAGUCCUCAAGUGUAAUAAGUCUUUAGGUCACACAGACAGAAAGACUUCAGUGAUGCCUAACACUCUUUGGCUCUGGGUGUUUGGGCUUGGUCCUCACAAGGAUGUUUCUCUCUCAAAGGCUUCGAGGUGGGUUGCUCUCAAAACGACAAAAGCCGUAGAAUAACUCUGAGCAGCCACCAAUUUAUGGUGUAGGGGGUGGGCUAUUUAUAGCCACUGGGCAACCCAACCUGAUAUGUCCGAAAUGACCCUGGGUCACUAAGGAACUGACACGUGUUCCAACGGUUAGAUUUCAAACACACACGGCAACUUUACUUGGGCUACAAGCAAAGCUGACUUAUCCAGCUCAGGAUAAGAUUUGCUCUCAUUGUCUUCGCUCGAAGACAUAGGAUUUGGGUUGAGCAUCACUUCAGUCACUCUGACUUAGUUCACUUGGACCCCACUUAACAGUACGGUGGUUCCUAUGACUCAACAAAGAAGAAAAGGAAACAAAAAAACAACACAGUCUUCGCGCUCCAUAGUCUUCACUCAAUGUCUUCUCAUGUCAUAGUCUUCAAUAUGAAUAUCUUCACAUACCACCAUUGUCUUCACUGUCUUCAUACAUUUUUAGGGGUCAUCUCCGGUAGGUAAACUGAAUCAAAGAGGGACACUACCUGCGUUAUCCUGCAAUUCACACAAACACAUUAGUCCCUCAACCAACUUUGUCGUCAGUACUCCAAAACCAACUAGGGGUGGCACUUGAUGCACUUACAAUCUCCCCCUUUUUGGAGAUUGAUGACAAUAUGGUUGAAGUUUUCAACGGGGAUAAAGUAUGUGAAAUUGUAAAGGAUAGGGUAUUGUCUUCAUAAGUAGCAAGGGCUCCCCCUGAAGAUGUGCAUAUAAGUAAUUUGCUUUUGGAAUGCAAAUGCACAUGGCAGGUUGUACUUGUGGAGAUCCACUUCAACUUAUGAAGAUAAGUCAUCAUGCAUGAAAAUGAUAUAGCAAAUAGAAUGACAUGCAUAAUGAAAAAUGGACGUUUGCAGAAUGAUCUAAGUGCGGAAGUUAUCAUCGCACAAGCGGAGUAAAGAAAAUAAGUAGCAGAGGACCAUCGAGUUUAAGUGUUACCACUCAAAGAGCCAAAUGUUUCAAAACGAGAGUUGUAAACACGAGGCAAAAUAUAAAGCAACCGCCCAUAUGAACCCGCUUGAAGACUAUCAACUCAUACGCUUCUCCCCCUUCUGUCGGUAAUGACCAAAAAGGUUUGAAGACAUAGAGCAUCUACUCGUCCUCAUGAGUAGGUGAAGCAGCAGGGUUGUCGUUGUUGCUUGGCGGUGCAGACGUACUUGGUGCAGUGUCUAUGCGUGCAGUAGUAGGAGGCGGUGAAGUAGCAUCCUCUUCAUCAUCGAUCACUCUUGCAUUCACAGUUGCCACGGAGGAAGAAUAGUCAGAGUCUUCAAGGGAUGGAGUUCGACGUAGGACAGCAGUUCGUGGAGGAGUGGAGUCAAACUGGAACCUUUCAGUGAAGCCAUCAUCUUGAAGAUCUGCUUCAGCACUAAGCAAGGUCAAACUCUUCCAUGAUCGCCGGCAAGUCUUGUGAGCAACAAAUGCAUUCUUGGUGGCAAGAUUGCGAAAGCGAUUGACAUCCACCAAGAGGCUUUGCAUCUGACGCUUGAGCCAAAAGUGAUGCUUAUCUUGUUUCUGAUGAAGAGCCACAAGAAGUUCUCGGUCAUUGAGGACUCGAGAGCGCUUCUUUGGCCUUUGAGCAAUGUUGCUUUCAGUGGCUUCAAUAGGUGCACGAUGAGGCAGACGAGUAUUCCCAGCCAUUGGAUAGAUACGUGUUACUGCUUGAGUGCCUUCCAUGGACUGAGUGAAGCUUUGGUGAUCAACAUUUUGAAGACAAAGGGGCUCCUUGGCAGGCUCAGGGUAUAUAGCUUCAACUGACAUAUGAACCUCUGGUAAAAAGAUCAGAUGAUUGCGAGCAGAGGGCUCAUAGUUGACAAAAGAGUGUUGCUUGAUGAGGCGCAUGACCCAUGGAGCAUAAAACUCCAGACCAAAAAGGUCAGAUCCAGAAGCUGCAAGUUGCCUGAUGAACAAUUCUUGAGAAUUGAAGCUGAUGCCAUUGAGGAUGUAGAAGACCAAUGUCUUCAUGGCUCCUUCAAGCUUUGCAGCUGAUGAAUGUCCUUUGAUAGGCCAUAGAGUUCGCCUGAUGAUAUGAUAUAUGGUGUGAGGUAGAUACUCAAGGUCUUCAACAAAGAACUCCGUUGGAUAUUUACCGUCAGACGGCAAAGGCUUGAUCAUGCUCAACAUAUGGCUCAUAUUGGGUUCAGGCUUGUGGAAGAUGCUCUCCUGUGCAUUGCGGUGUAGUUGACUGUCAGGUUCAUAGAGAUCUCCGGGAGUGGAUAGGCUAGUAAGCUCAAUGAUGUCAAGAGCUUUGGCUUCAUGAUGAACGUUUCCAGUCAUCCACUCGAGAACCCAUGUCUUGAUGUCUCUGUUGUAGCCGCGAAUGUGGAGGGUAGCAUAGAAUUGAAGUAAAAGUUCUUCAUUCGAAUGUACUUUGUCUGUCACAAAACUGAGUAGACCAGCAUCACGAAAACAGUCAAGUGCUUCUUCUAAGCAAGGCAGUCCAGCAAUGGCUUCAGUGUCGAGAAGCAUAUGAGGGAAGAUGCACUCUUGAUCAUACAGAACACAUGAGUAAUAGCUUCGCUGCUGAUGACUCCAGAAACGAUCUGAUGAUAUUCUUGGCCUUGUGUAGGGGUUCUUUGAGCUGUCAAAGAAUGUGUUGUGGCUUUUGAAGCCAUUUGGAUUGAAGGACCCGACAGGUGUGGCAGUACCUGGAAACCUUGGCAGUCUUGGCUUUGGCUUCUGGACCUGAGGCCUAUGCUUAAUGUGAUAGUCAAACUGAGGACCAGAGACACUAGGCGGAGGGACCAGAACGGGCCAUCUUACUGUGACUAGCUCGCCAUGGUUGUAUGCUUGCUCAAUGGUAUAUGGCCUUGGUGGCGGAACAGGAGCAGUGGCAGCAGCUGGGGCUUCAGGCUGCACAACAGGUGCUUCGGGAGCAGUUGCCUCAUUGGUUUCAGGCACACUGGUUGGUUCAAGCUCCACAUUAGCUUCAGCCAUGACUACGUCAUUGGCUUCACUUGCGUUGGUAGUGGAAGCUUCAUGAUUUUCAACCUCCACUUGAUGAGCUGGAGGGUCGGGCACUGGCACGUUCACUUUAGGAACAUCUUCUUCAAUAACUGGGGGAGUAGGAACUUGUACGUCUUCUUGUCUUUCAUCGGCUGAUGCAGCCGGAUUGUCUUCAGCAGCUUGGGCUUUAGACACGGAGACAUUCUCAGUUGGAGUGGCUUCAGGAAACACUUGACGUGCAACAGGUUGAGGAUGCACUUCUCCUUCUGGAACGCUCGGAAGAGGGACUUGAGGCCUUGGUCCUUUGCGAAGCCGUUGUAGGACAGGCGAUGCCUUGGGAGAUGGAGUAGGUAGGUCCUCAUCCUCUUCAACUUGAACAGAUGGUGUGGCUUGUUGUUGUUGUUGGGGAGUACUGGGGGAGUCUUGUUGUUGUGGGCGAUCAGCCCAUGAUGCAUCCUGAGCAAUUGGCAUCAGAGGACGACCAAUGCUGAUGAAGGCUUCAGAGGCUUCAGUAUUCUUCCUCUUUCUGGCUUCAGCCUCGGCAACCCUCGUCUUUUUCUGUUUUGAAGCGGUUGAUGAGACCUUUGGCUUCGAGCCAGUCAUGCUGCUUGGGAAGAUAAUGCGAGUUGCUUCUUGAGAUGAAGACUCAGGUUGGGCAGUAGAGAGCUUCUUCUUGUUCUUUGCAGCCAUCCUGGGGUCAAUGCCAGGACGGCCAAGAGACUUACGCUUCUCAGCCUCAUUGUAGGCAAGUACACACUUGUCAGCCAAACUCUUCAUACGCUCGCGAGAGCCUUGAGCUUCUUGGCGCUUCUUGAGAAAGGCUUCUUUAAGCUCAUGCAGCAUGACCUUGAAGUUUCUGACAUCUUGCACACUGAGCUUCGCCACAUGCUUCUUGAACUGAGCCUUCUCAUAAUCAAUUUUGUUCUUCAGCUCAACGAUGCGCUGAGCAAGAGCUAGCUCAGAAGCAAUGGCGCCAUUAAAGGAGACGCUGAGGCCAAUGGGAAGCUGCAGAUCGUCAAAGCUGAGGUUUGGUGUAUCAAACCACUCAUCAAUGAAGUUAUGGAUGACUGCCACAUCGAAGAGAGGCAGGUUGUUGAAGAUCUCUGCUUCUUCCUUGCUUUUGAUCAAUUGCUCAAGGGCAUCAUCUGCAAGAUCUUCAUCGCUAGAUAGAUCAAUGGGAUCUUCACGCAGAAUGGCAGCAGGAGUUAAGGUUUGAUCAGAAUGCCUGACAAUUUGCUUUUUCUUCUCCGUCUUCUUGGAGAUUCAGGAUUGAUCUUCAGACUGCACACUGUCUUCAGGAGGUGCAGUGGCCAGAGGCCUCACAUGAGAAACUUUCGGAGGUGCAGCUGAUGUUGAAGCCUUAACUUUCUUUGGCUUCUGGGGCCUUGGAGGAGGAGCUGAGGCUUCAUCAGUGUCAGCAUCAUUAUCAGAAUGAUCUACCCUGGCACCUUGGACCAAGAUGUAGGUGAUGAGUCCAUCGAGGUUGGAGAAGGGGCCGAUGACAUUAGGAUUUGCAUCACGAGAGCCGUCGACACGAGGAGCAGAGGGACCAGGGUUGAAGUCUAAUCCCAAUGACUUCUUGUUUUCCUUGGCCGAAGCCUUGGCGUGCUGAAAGUUGCACUUGAAGAGAGCAUCAUCACGACACCAGAGUAAUGAUGUGGGAUCGGCAUUCUCAGGCUGAGGUCCACGGACCAUGCAGGGAUAGAAACCUUGUGCAAUAGCUUCAACUCUGUUCUUGGGUUGAAGGCCUCGAUAGAGAAUAUCGCCCCAAGGACUCUUGAUAGCAUUCUUCUCUGCAUAUUCCUUGGUCACGAACUUGUACUUGAACCAUUCUUCAGCCCAAUAGCGUCGAAUCCAUUGGAUUCGUGUCUUGCGCUGAUGAUAAUUCUCUUCAGGAUCUGUCUUGUAGAGCUCUGCUAGGUCAUCAGGCAGAUCUUUUGAUGUACCCCCUCGAUGCUGUCUGCCACCCUUCCUUACUGAUUUCUCUACAGCCAUGAACUUCAAACUGAAUGGCUUCAAUAUGUUCAAGGGCUUCAGAGGCUUACGCUUGCUGGUCAAGCAGGAGCUGGCUUCAGGAGAAUUAAUGUGAUGCUGUAAGUAUUCUGCAAACGAAUGCAGACUAUGAGAACCAAAGGAUUCUCCCACGGACAUGUACCUGUGACAGCAUUAGAGAUGCGAGGGAAGGGGAAGAGGUCAUAUGCAUUCUCAGAAGAUUUUGAAGAUAAAUCAGUUUGAAGACAUUGACCUCAUGAUGCGAAGACAUUCACUUGUAUGUUGUGAGUUGGUUCUAGAUUUGUACGAAUCUGUGAAUAAGUACAAGUGAGGAAUCAAACUAGAUAUGAAACUUAACUGAAUAGUCUAGGCAGUAUGAGAUGCAGACAGAAUAGAUCUAACAUUGUGUAGGCAGAAACCACUUUUGGUAAAUAGGAUAAAUCUUGAAGAUCAAAAAGGUGGUAAAAAUAGAGUUAUAAUUACCGCACGAAGAACUGCUAGAUGGGAUGAAUAGGAGACCGAGCAGUUCAGUCCACCGUGCCCUAACUUGGCGACGGAGGACACCUACAGCGACGGCGGAGAGGACGAUGUCCGCGGCCGGCGUGAGGACGGCGUCGGAGAAGUCACGGCAGCUAAGCGCUUCGUCGCCGGCGUCCUCGAGAGCUAGCGGUGGCGCUAGGGUUUUGAUGAGGUGGAGAGGUGGAAGAAGGAUUUCUUACCGCAGGGGACAAGUAUUUAUAUGUAGGUGUGCAGCACAGCGCAAUUACGCUGGUGCCCUGGCGGUUCACAUCUGAGGGGCACGUGGCAAGCAUGCAACAUACUCAGAGUUGUCCCACGUUCCCACGCCCGCCAGGCAUGUCGGAUGGUUGUUCUGGCUUCUCCGGAUUUCAACAGUAAAAAUGAGUUAUUUAAAAAUAGACUUAAUGUUUGUCUCUGUGCCUUCUGCUGACUAGGACGCAGAGAAGACAUUCGACAGUGUCAAUAGAAUGCAUAUGAUUUGGACAGAUAGAGUUUGAGAUUGAAAGCAUAGAGAAGUUAGGGUCCUAUCACAUUCACUUAGUUCAGAAGAUUCAACUUGAAGACAUAGCUAUAAGUGAAUGCAGUAGAGGACAGAACACUAGUGUAUAUAUGUUUCAGAAAGCAAUCAAAUCAUCAUAGUGAAGGAAAUCAUGAAGAUAAAUUGAAACUAAAGACAAACCAAAUGCAAAGUCAUUGCAAAAAUAACGCCAUGAGUGAAACACUUCAAACAGAGAAAUUUGGUGGUGGCGUUUCCCACCGUAUAGGAAGUAUUAGACCCAGACACGGCGCACAAUUAUCGUGGCGCUCCGAAGUCAAAUUCCAUGUUAAUGUAUUCACACUUAGAUUGUAAGUCUUCAUUGAUUGAAGAUAUACAUUACUUUGUGUGUUGCACAUCUAAGUCAUCAACAUGCAUAAGUGUUAGGAUGUGUGCCUAAUCACAGGACAUUUGAGGAUUCCAAGAUAUUUAGCUCACAUCGUAACUUGUAAAACCUUUUCUCAUCCAAGGGCUUUGUGAAGAUAUCUGCCAGUUGCUCUUCAGUGUUGACGUGAAUGAUGUUAAUAUCUUUCUUCAUGACAUGAUCUCUGAGAAAGUGAUGACGAAUUUCAAUGUGCUUUGUCUUCGAGUGCUGGACUGGAUUGUUGGCUAUCUUGAUGGCACUUUCAUUGUCGCAGAAGAGAGGUACUUGUUUCAGAUUGAUGCCAUAGUCCUUGAGAGUUUGCUUCAUCCAGAGAAGCUGAGCACAACAAGAUCCAGCAACAAUGUAUUCAGAUUCAGCAGUUGAGAGUGAUACACAGUUCUGCUUCUUUGAAGACCAACAGACAAGUGAUCGACCCAGAAAGUGACAUGUGCCUGAUGUAGACUUGCGAUCCACCUUGUCACCAGCAUAAUCAGCAUCCGAGAAUCCAAGCAAAUCAAAUUUUGAGCCCUUGGGAUACCAUAAUCCGAGUGUUGGGGUGUAAGCCAAAUAUCGAAGAAUUCGCUUCACAGCUAAGUGAUGCGAUUCCUUUGGUGCCGCUUGGAAUCGAGCACACAUGCAAACACUAAGCAUAAUAUCUGGCCUUGAUGCACAUAGAUAAAGUAAAGAACCAAUCAUGGAGCGGUAUACCUUUUGGUCGAACUCUUUACCAUUGUCGUCGGGACCAAGAUGGUGUUUGGCUGGCAUUGGCGUCGUGUAGCCUUUGCAGUCUUCCAUUCCAAACUUCUUCAGACAAUCUUUGAGGUAUUUUUCUUGAGAUAUGAAGAUGCCAUUGCUUUGCUGACGAAUUUGAAGACCAAGGAAGAACUUCAACUCAUCCAUCAUGGACAUCUGAUAUUGCUCUUGCAUCAUGUAGCCAAACUCAUCAGUAUACUUCUGGUUGGUGCAACCGAAGAUUAUGUCAUCCACAUAUAUUUGGCACACAAACAGUUCACCAUCAUAUGUCUUCGUGAAGAGUGUGGGAUUGAGGGAUCCAGGUUUGAAGCCUUUGCUCUUCAGGAAGUCUUUGAUCAUAUCAUACCAUGCACGAGGAGCUUGUUUGAGGCCAUACAGUGCUUUGUUUAGCUUGUACACCAUAUCAGGAUGUUUUGGAUCUUUAAAGCCAGGUGGUUGAGCGACAUAUACUUCUUCUUCAAUCUUGCCAUUGAGAAAUGCACUCUUCACAUCCAUUUGAUAUAGCAAGAUGUUGUGAUGAUUAUCAUAGGCUAGCAGUAUGCAGAUAGCUUCAAGCCUAGCCACAGGAGCAAAUGUUUCAUCGAAGUCAAUUCCUUCUACCUGAGUAUAUCCUUGAGCCACAAGACGUGCUUUGUUUUUGACGACUUGACCAUGCUCAUCUUGCUUGUUUCGAUAUAUCCAUUUUGUUCCAACAAUGUUAUGCUUGCGAGGGUCAGGUCGCUUGACAAGAUCCCAAACAUUGUUUAGCUUGAACUGUUGAAGUUCUUCUUGCAUAGCUUGAAUCCAUUCAGGUUCCAUAAAGGCUUCAGCAACUUUCUUGGGUUCUGAUAUUGACACAAAUGAAAAGUGCCCACAGAAGUUUGCCAACUGUGUUGCCUUUGAGCGAGUGAGUGGACCAAGUGCAUUGAUGCUAUCAAUUAUCUUCUCAAUUUGUACUUCAUUUGCAACACGAGGAUGAACAGGACGAAGAUUUUGCUCUUGCUGAUCAUUGUCAUCAUUGGGAGGAUUAUCUUCGGUCUGAGCAUUGUCUUCAGGUUGGUUAGGGGCAGAAAUGACAAGUUCCUCUUCAGGCUGAGCUUCAGAGGGCAUGAUUUCACCAGUUCCCAUCAGCUUGAUAGAUUCGCUUGGAGGAGCUUCAUUAAGUGUACUCGGCAGGAGUUCUCUUUGUGAACCAUUGGUUUCAUCGAAUCUCACAUCCAUAGUUUCGACGAUCUUGUAUAGAUAGAGGUUGAAGACUCUGUAGGAGUGAGAGUCCUUUCCAUAGCCAAGCAUGAAGCCUUCGUGAGCCUUAGGUGCAAACUUCGACUUGUGAUGGGGAUCCUUGAUCCAGCAUCUAGCACCAAAGACCUUGAAGUAGCUGACAUUUGGCUUCUUGCCAGUAAGGAGCUCAUAGGAUGUUUUGUUCAGAAGCUUAUGGAUGUAGACACGGUUGAUGACGUGACAUGCUGUAUCAAUAGCUUCAGGCCAGAACUUUCUUGGUGUCUUGUACUCAUCGAGCAUUGUUCGAGCCAUCUCAAUUAGAGUUCUGUUCUUGCGCUCAACGAUGCCAUUUUGCUGAGGUGUGUAUGGAGCAGAGAACUCAUGAGUGAUUCUCAUUGUAUCCAGAUAAAGAUCAAGUCCGGUGUUCUUGAAUUCAGUGCCAUUAUCACUUCUGAUAUGCUUGAUCUUCACGCCAUAAUUGUUCAUUGCUCGAUUGGCGAAUCGUUCGAAGACAUCUUGUACUUCAGUCUUGUAGAGAAUUAUAUGCACCCAUGUGUAUCUUGAGUAGUCAUCAACAAUGACGAAGCCAUACAAACAAGCAGUUGUUGUGAGGGUGGAGUAGUGAGUAGGUCCAAAUAAGUCCAUGUGUAACAGCUCGAAGGGUUGAGAUGUUGUCAUGAUUGUCUUCGAGGGGUGCUUUGCCCUAGUCAUCUUCCCAGCUUCACAGGCACCACACAAAUGAUCUUUCUUGAACUUGACAUCCUCGAUACCAAUGACAUGCUUCUUCUUGACGAGUGUGUGUAAGUUCCUCAUGCCAGCAUGUCCCAGCCUUCGAUGCCAGAGCCAGCAUUCCGAAGCUUUUGUGAGAAGACAUACGGCAAGUUGUGGACCUGCUGAGAAAUCUACCAUGUAUAGAUCAUAUUUCCUAUAUCCUUCAAAGACUAGAGACUUGUCAGAUUCCAUUAGUACAAGGCAACGAUAUUUUCCAAAUAGCACAGUCAUGUUUAAGUCACAAAGCAUUGAGACAGACAUUAAGUUGAACCCAAGGGAUUCAACAAGCAUCACUUUAUCCGUGUGUUGAUCCUUAGAGAUUGCAACUCUACCUAGACCCAAUACCUUGCUUUUACCAGUGUCAGCAAAUGUGAUUUGACUCUUGUCGGAUGGACGUAAGGUUGAGUCCAUGAGAAGACUGCGAUCACCAGUCAUAUGAUUAGUGCAUCCGCUGUCAAUAAUCCAUUCUGAAGCUUUUGGUGACAUGCCCUACAGUGCAGUUAGGAGGAUAGGCUUCACAAGGUAUGUUGUGAAGCAUAAGCAUUUGACACACACUUGGAUUAUCAUAGCAUAGAUCAAGAUUAGAAUACACAGUAUGACAGGUAAGAGAUUCAUAUGUGGAAUACAUAGUAAGUCAUUUUAUCAUGCGUCCCUUUAUGUUUUAGGUCCCCAGCAAUAAUAUCGGACGCCAUUGAUUGCUGGCUGGAGACCACAUUCUGCAAAAGAGAGUUAAUUCUUCUUCACCACCCACAUUUUUAGGGGUGGCUUAGAAGCAAUGAGUCUAAGUGCAGCAGCUGAGAAUUUCGGCUUUGAAGCCCUAGCAGAUAGCCUUGCAGGAGAUGAAUGAUACUCAUGCGAAUAAGCAGAAAAGUUCUUAGUUCUAUGAACAUAGCGGUUUGAAGACACAUGCUCAUGUUCAUGAGUUUGAGUAUGAUUUCCCUGCAAAACAUUGGCAUUAGGGUGACUCAAGUGAGUCCUGUAUUCGUAUGAAGCCGUUGGACCAUAUGAUGCCUUUGGUCUGGGGUUUGUCUUCUUCCCAGGUGGUGUCAUGAUGACAUUCACUGGAAGAUUCUCAAGGCAGCUUUUGGGAACCCAGAUCUUCUUCAUAGGUGAUCCAUUCCUGCAGUUAGUACCAAUAUACCUGGCAAACACUUCACCAUUCUGAUUUUUGAACAGUUUAUAGUUUGCAUCAAAGGAUUCAUCAAUGAUAAUAGGAUUAGCACAGGUAAAUCCAGAUAAAGUGGACGGAUCCACUGAAGGUUCCUUUGCAGCAACCCAUGUGGUUUUGGGAUACUGCUCAGGCUUCCAGUAGGAACCAUCAGCAUUCAUUUUCCUGUCGAACCCAACACCCUCUUUCCUAGGGUUUCGGUUCAGAAUCUGCUUUUUGAGGACAUCGCAGAGUGUGUGAUGUCCCUUCAAACUUUUGUACAUCCUGUUUCAAGCAAUGUCUUCAACCUAGCAUUUUCAUCAGCAAUAUUAGUGGUAUCCUCUGCAGAGGGGUUAGUAACCACAUCAGUAGUUGAAGACAAUGAAACAGCAGCAGCAGUGGAACAUCCAGCAACAGAUGUAGCGUUAUCACGCUCAAUGCAUUUUAGACAUGGUGGUUCAAAUCCAUCCUGAGCGGGACUGAUCUGUUGAGCGCGAAGUGACUCUUUCUCUUUUUGAAGAUCUUCAUGAGUCGCUUUCAAUUUCUCAAGCUCUUGCUUCCUUUGAAGAUAAUCAUAGGAGAGCUUUUCAUAUGUGGUUGAGAGCGUCUCAUGAAGACUUUCAAGUUCUUGGUACUUAGCAUGAAGAUUUUUUAUGUCUUCUACUAAGGACUGUGUCGGGGAUAUACCCCGCGGCGUAAACUGGCCGGAAGUUUAACCCGGCCGGACUUGGCGGUUUAUCUGAAGACCCCGCUGGCACUUGGCGAUUCACCGGGCGACCCGUUUGGACCUGGCGGUUCACGACUCAUUGGUAAUCCGGCAGGUGGGUACGAGGAGCGACAAGACCUGGUGGCCCAACGGGCGGUUCAUGAAGGCCGGUUCAUACUAUGGUGGGCCGGUUUAAGAGGAAAGGCAGGAGGAAUAUUUACCUUACAAGGAGUUAAGACCAGGACUUGUAUCCGGUUUGUAUUAGAGAUAGAGUAGUCCUAAUCCUAAUAGGACUCCACAUGUAAACCGCCCCUUCAACAUAUAUAAGGAGGGGCAGGGCUCCCCAAAGGGGGACAAGCAAGAAACAAUCUUAGGGCUAGACACAAAGAGGAGAGCCGGUUUACGACGACUCCCUCAUGAUGAUAAUGAGACCUAGCCUCAAACAGCAUGUAGGGUUUUUACGGGAUGAUGUUUCCCGGGGCCCGAAGCUGUCUAAACCCUUGUCUUGUGCAUUGAUCCGCCCUGCGUCUCUCAUCCCAAUCAACCCCUCUCAAGCUACCACAUAGAUGCACUGGCCUCGCGACUAAGUCCUGACACUAAGGACAUCUGCCGUGACAAAACCACGACAGUUGGCGCCCACCGUGGGGCCUGCGCACGGUGGUGUUGAGUUCUUGGAGGGAUCUGUCCUAGGGUUUCGAGAAGUUUGCGAUUUGCCGGAUAGAGAAGAGCCGGUGAAGAAGGAUCUAAAUCAACUAUGAGUUUAUCGCUGAAGAUUGGAAGAGUUUUUUGCAGCCGCGUAAAACAGAUGAGAGUCAGAAGGAAAAUUCAGGAUCGACUGGCCAAACGCGUCUGCCCACAAAAUCUGUUGAACCCUAGAAAAUAGGGUCACGUCUGUGUGCGCAGCCGCCGUUCUAUGAUUGGUCAAGUCACAAGUGUUGCCGAGACCGACUAGAGUUCAAGGCAAUCGAAACCGUUUUGUUCACGUGCUGCCUAAUUACGUGGUAGGGUCAAACUCUUGGAAAUUACGGCCGUUCGGCAAAGUUGCUGGGACCCCUCGCUUCAAGUUUUGGAGAUGAUUCACCGGUGCACUGUAUCUGAAAGGCCAACGGACAUCUACUAGUACUCCUACAAAGCGCCAAAGUCAUCUAGAGUCCGCAGCAAAGUCGAAGCAAACCUAAUUAUCAUAUAUUGCUCCUCUAUCACUUUCCACUAUUAAUACUUGUAUUAGUAGUGGGCACAUGGACCAAAGUCAAUGGAUCUUCACCUCCUCACGUGAAGACUAGUACACUACUCCUCACCAGGAUUAAAUAGAAGAAAAGAUUUGGAGUUGUUCAGAGAUUGAAGAUAUGGCUGUUGUUUGUCUGACACGGGCUCAGACACGUAUAGAAAAAGGAAAGCCAGGUACCUCAUUACAGUGAAAAAAAAGUGCCAAGUCAACGAUGACCCAAAGAAGGAUUUUUGGUACUACUAUGGCCUCGCUUCGCUCACCUGGUCGCCCCGGGUCGACUUGCAAGUCGCCCUGCCGUGCCAAUUUCCUCCCCACGGCCGGUUCCCACGCCGGCUGGCCAACUCACUGGCCCCGGCCUGCUUUGAGCUCGGAUGUAUGCAUCGUCCUCGUCCAGCACCCGGCCUCUAAGCUGCUGCCAUGACCCGCCUGCGCCUCGCUGGUUUUGCCUCCGCAGUCAAGUCACCUCGCGACCCAGCUGUGUCAAAUGGUACUGAGCCACCCUGACGGUCCUGGCACGCCUCAGACUGUCUUCGCCGUGAGCCGCCUUCGCCGGUUUGCGAGUCACGUGUGACCGCACCUUGCUUUGUCGAGCCGCCGGCCUCUGUUUUCGCCUUGCCAGCGUGCAACUGCUGCCGUGACCUCACCCCGGCCGGCCUUCACCGACCAGCUGCCUUGUGUGUAUCUAUUUUAAAAUCGCUGAUGGAGAGCCGCCCGUCCCUGUUGUUGCGCUCGCAUCGCCACGGGUCUCUAAGAAACGCCUCGCUUCUAUUACAAUUUUGAAACCGCCAGACCACUUUGAAAGCGGCCACCAUCGACCGAGCUGUCAAAUCGCCGAUCGCCAAGACCAAGAUUUCCGAUGCAACCGUUCUUGCCCAAAGUCGAGUUGCCGCCGCUGCAGUUUUUUCUCCGUAGUAAAAAGGACUGGAGGGAGUAUCAGGCAAUUUCAAGUACCGAGGCAGCAAGGACGAUAUUGCUGCUUCUCCACAGCAUCACGCAGGGUCACCCGAUGCAGAAGCAAGCUGCCACUCUGCUGUUGCUGCUGCUUGGGAAGUACAACUUCAACUAGUACUCACGUGAAGCUACUCUGCUAGUUCGUCCUUUGUUUGUUACCUUUACAGGCGCGCCAGCAACCUGGGAUACUAUCAGCCGCUGCACGCUGAAGAAAGCUACCAACAUCAUGAUUUGGGAAAGGGAUUUCAACAAUUUGAAAAUCAUUUGGAUGACAUCAAAGGUUGAACCAGCGACGUUGCGGCCAUCUUGAGCCGCCGAGGGUCGCGCCAAAGCCGCUGCCAUGGCUCACCAGUUUCUGAAACAUCAGGUGAUAUCUUUCUUUUAUAUUUCAUCAACGUGACAAUUCAUGUGAGGACAACUACUCGGGUAUGCACUAUUGUUUAUGCAGGGCAAUUAUUUAUGACAAAAAGUGAUAUUAUACCGCGGAGACGGAGGCACGCCAACAUCUUUUGGCACGGGUGGUCGUCUCUCGCGACCGCGCCGACUUACAACACCGUGGCCGUCUCUCGCGACCGCGCCAACUUACAACACCGUGGCCAUCUCUCGCGACCACGCCAGCUUACAACAAGGAGGACGAUUCGCCCAUCCGCACCGGCUUACAAACGCUGCGGCUGAUUCAUCUGUCUGCUCCCGCGGCCGACUCACCCGUGAGUGAUUUCAACUUAACCUAGUGAUCAUCAACUUCAUGGCGGAUUAUUUCUGGCCUAACACAUCAGGUGAUAUCCAUUUUAAAUAUAUUUUAUUGGCACAUAUUAUUUUGUCAAAAGAGCAGUUUAUCUUUGCCUUGGUCUGCAAUAUUGUUAAUGCAGGACAAUUAUUCACUACAUCAAAACGACAUGGUUGACUCGCCUGCGUCGGUUUACAGGACCGCGGCCGAUUCAUCCGUCUGAGCCGCCUCUGAUGCGGCGGUCGUCUUUACUGACCGUCUCUCGCGGCCUGGUCUACAUCAACACACCGGGACACCCUUUUUCUGGAUGAGCUGUUUAUUGAAGUAUGAGCAAGUCACAGCUUCGGUAGCCCAACUUUCUUUCAAAUUGGAGGCAAAUUAUUAUCAACCACCGUCUGCACUGGAUGGUUCAAUGGGCAGGCGCACAAGUCGCCGCCACUACAGUUUGAUUAAUUUCAAAUCGCCAGUUGGAAGGAGACAUUGGCCAAGUUGCUGACACGGCUCAUACGGGAUCAUUUAUAACCCGCCGCAGUCACCUCAAUCUUCUAUGGAUUCACAUCGGGCUAUCAACACCAAUGAUAUACAACUUAUGCCGGUUUACAUCACGGUCACAUAUGGAGAGUCUCAAGCCAACUCCUCGAGUCACCUUUGAGACUCGGGGGCUACAAUGACAUGACUCAGCAAAUCUUGCCAGUUUCAGCGAAAUUAAGAAUCCUAGGAUCAUUGGAGGGAAAGAUAACCCGGUCCCGGAGGCUCCUGUUAUAUUGAUGAAAAUUUAAAGGCUGUCAGGAAAUUUCCGGCUUAGAAAGUAUAUGACAGUUACAAAAUCCCGGCUCAAUGAAGAAGUCCCGGGUCAUCAGAAAGGAUUCUGGUUUAAAAUCCGGCUCAAGGGAAGUCAGUCUCACUGAAGCUCUCAAAUAUCCAGUUUACAAUCCAGUUCAAGGGAAAUCUAUUCUCCCACAAAGCUCUGAAGUGCUCAAAUCCGGUUUAAGAAUUUCCGAUUCAAAAAGGAAUUAACUUCUCGCAAGUUCGAGUUUAAAGGCCGUCAGAAAAUUUCCGGCUAAAAAUGAAGAUUCCGGUUUAAAAUCCGGUUCAAGGGAAAGAUGUCUCCCACAAAAGCUUUGAAGCUCUCAAUAUCCGGUUUAACGUCCGGCUCAAGAAGGAUUUAUCUCUUGCAAAAAUUAAUGGGUGCCAAAGAGGACCUGCUGCCAUGAUGCACGGUUCAAACAUGGGUAUCAUGCCUUAUUGGCUUAUCAUGUUAUUGAUCACUUGGGGGCUUGGUCAUGUCUGAACCAUAGUCACACCUCUUGAUCGGCGCAAUGCCACAGUAUCACUUGGGGGCUUGGUCGCGUCCGAACCAAUGCAACACCUUUUGAUAGGCAAAAGCCACCAGAUCACUUGGGGACAUAGUCAAGUCUGAACCAGUCACGCCUCUUGAUCGGCCUAAGGCCACAGAAUCACUUGGGGGCUUGGUCGAACCCGAACCAUUGCCAUGCCUUUUGAUCGGCAUAAAUGCCACGGUUUCAUUUGGGGACCUGGCUGACUUGAACCAUCGCCACACCUAUUGGGGGCUUGGUCCUGUCGGACCAUGGUAACACCAUCUGAUCAACUCAUUAAAGCAUUUUUCUUGCAAACGGUUUUAUCAUUGCCUUUUGCUUCAGUCUUUUUCUUAAAUGACUAUUAUUUUUGUUGCGUUUUUUUUAAACCGACAUUAUUAAUCCGGUUCGACUUUCAAUUACAAAUUGGCGGAACACGGUCAAAUCUUAAUCCGGAGACUAUCUGCCCGGUUUGAUUUUAUGUUACCAUCUUAUUAUGGAGUAAACCGGUGUUCAUUAACCCGGCUUGACUUUCAAUUACAAGUUGUCAGUACAUGAUCAAAUCAUAAUCCGGAGACUAUCCGCCCGGUCUGGUUUCGACUAUAAGUCGCCAACACUAUAUAUGGAUAAUCCGGUGUUAAUCACAAGCCGGUACGGUUUAUCAUAAACCGGCACAAUAUGGAAGGAGUUAUCAGUACUCAAAAUUUGGGUUAUUACCUCUACUACAAAAAGUUGGUAAACCAAUGAUGUGAUUCAAUGUCAUAGGUAUGAUAUAUUUCAUAUUUGAUUAUUCUUAAGUGCAGCCUUGGUUAUAAACCUGGGUUAUAUGUUGGGCAUUAUGACCCGUCCGGCGGUAAACCACCAGGACACUUUAAACUUGUUGUAUGCAGAAACAGGUUGAAUAAAUCAUGAUUAUAAAUCACUAGUGUUUAUUAAACCGGCCUGGCUUUAAGACGAUAAGUCUCCAGUCUAUGAGGAGAAAUUGUCCGGUGUUUAUUAAACCGGCCUGGCUUUGGACUAUAAGUCGUCAGUAUAUAUUUGGAUUGCGCCAUUGGAAUCAUGCGCUUAUAAAUCAUUUGGUUAUAUUAUUCAAAUAGCCAAACUUGGCUGAAUUUUCAUUAUGAUAUUGAAUGAAUAAAGUUUUCAUACCGGAUUAUAUUAUCUUGAAUAGCCAACAUGGCUGGAUUUUAUUAUGGUUUUUAAUAACCGGUAUUAUUGAGGUUUUCAAAGUCGCUUUAGUGCAAUGGCUAUUAUUUUAUCAAAGGAUAUGAUUUAUUCUACAAUGAAAGGAAUAGUCCCGAGUCGCUGCAGGCUUACGACCUGGCACUUGGGGGCUACAUUAUUCAAAUUGAGAUUACAUCGAAUAUGCAAGUCCCAUAUCACUGCCAGCAUGCACCAUGACACUUGGGGGCUAAUGCAAAGUCAUUGUUUGCUCACCUUAUUGAAGACCCGACUCAUCACAUCGUAAUGAGCCGGCCCUUGGGAGCUACCAAUUGCUCUUGUCAACAAUUCAAGGUACACAAAUUUUCAUUUAUCAUUGAAGAGUCCACUACUCAAUUGGUAAAGCACAAGGCUCUUAACCUUGCGGACAUGGAUUCAAGCCCCAUGAUGGGAGUUACAUCAUAUGAUGUUAUUUUCAUUGAAGUAUAUAUCAAGUCCCAGCUCAAUAUUAUCUUACUGAGCCGACCCUUGGGGGCUACACCGUUGCUAUUCAAAGUUUACAUGAUUAUAUUUACAAAGUCCCUGCUCAUUAUUGCAUAAUGACCCGGCCCUUGGGGGCUACACUGGUUGGAGUUUUUAUGAGUAUAAGACAAUUACAAGUCCCAGGUUGCUGCAAGCAGGACAAUCCGGCACUUGGGGACUAGAUAAUAUAGAGUAUUCAGUUUUUACUAAGUGACUGGGAUGAACAUAAUAUAGAGCAUUCAGUUUUUACUAAGUGACUGGGAUGAACAACAUGGAUUUCUUCUUAAGUGGCAGUAUUUAUAUUGAAGCAAGUCUUAAGCCAUCCCUUUGUUCUGCUCAAGACUUGGGGGCUACAGGUAUUAUAUUAUUAUCGAAGAACUAUUUUCAAAUUCUCAGUUUUGAGCAAACCGGAUUGACCCGGCGUCACCAAUCAUUACGACCCUGUGGCUGCAACCCGGCGUCAUCAAUAAUCAUGAACCGGCGUUGGCAACAAUCAUGAACCGGCGUUGGCAACAAUCAUGACCCGGAAUUAUCAGUUUUUAUAACUCGGCAGUUUUGGUAAUGAUAAACCGACAAGUUCUACAUCUUCAAACCGGCCGAAUUUCAGAUGAGUAUUUCAAGACCAAAAUUUCUUAAACUGACGCUUUGGAAGCCGACUCAAGUGGAUUAUUCUUAACAAUAUUUUCUAUGAGAAGCCAACAUCAGCAAUUUGAGUAUGAAGCUGGUUAUUGACCCGGAUUUUCUAGGAGGAAAUGACAAGGACUAAGGAUGAUCAGAUGCCGGUUUACAAGAAUUCUUAAUCCGGAGCACAACCUGUCAAAUUUGUUCUUGUGUUUAUUUUGCAGCAUAAGUUUACCAUGGAUAAAUCCAAGCUAAACUUGGGGGAUAUACCCCGCGGCGUAAACCGGCCGGAAGUUUAACCCGGCCGGACUUGGCGGUUUAUCUGAAGACCCCGCUGGCACUUGGCGAUUCACCGGGUGACCCGUUUGGACCUGGCGGUUCACGACUCAUUGGUAAUCCGGCAGGUGGGUGCGAGGAGCGGCAAGACCUGGUGGCCCAACGGGCGGUUCAUGAAGGCCGGUUCAUACUAUGGUGGGCCGGUUUAAGAGGAAAGGCAGGAGGAAUAUUUACCUUACAAGGAGUUAAGACCAGGACUUGUAUCCGGUUUGUAUUAGAGAUAGACUAGUCCUAAUCCUAAUAGGACUCCACAUGUAAACCGCCCCUUCAACAUAUAUAAGGAGGGGCAGGGCUCCCCAAAGGGGGACAAGCAAGAAACAAUCUUAGGGCUAGACACAAAGAGGAGAGCCGGUUUACGGCGACUCCCUCAUGAUGAUAAUGAGACCUAGCCUCAAACAGCAUGUAGGGUUUAUACCGGAUGAUGUUUCCCGGGGCCCGAAGCUGUCUAAACCCUAGUCUUAUGCAUUGAUCCGCCCUGCGUCUCUCAUCCCAAUCAACCCCUCUCAAGCUACCACAUAGAUGCGCUGGCCUCGCGACUAAGUCCUGACACUAAGGACAUCUGUCGUGACAAAACCACAACAGACUGUGAACGUGUCAUUUCCGUGUCCAACAGGUCAUCGCUUUUGUCUAACAGUUUUUGAGUAUGUUCCAUAGCCCUUUGUUGUUCAGUAGCAAUUUUAGCAAGUGUUUUGUAGCUGGGUUUGGAUUCACAAUCAGAGUCAUCUUCACUUGAUGUUUGAAAGUAAGCAUCGCGUGAUUUUACCUUGGCACCACAUGCCAUGAAGAAGUAGGUGGGAGCAGGAUCGUCCUUGUCAUCAGCUUCAGCGUUGGUGUGGAAGUCAUUGCCUUCAGUGUUGAAGAUGGACUUGGCAACAUAGGCUGUGGCACGAGCCAGACUUGCAACGCCAGGGUCAAACUCUUCUCCGGACUCCACCUCCGCCUCCUCAGAAGCAGACUCCUCCUCUGAAUCCAUUUCCUUGCCAACAAAGGCACGAGCCUUGCCAGAUGAGCUCUUCUUGUGUGAUGAAUACUUGGAAGAAGACUUAGAGGAAGACUUUGAGGAUUUCUUCUUCUUCUUGUCAUCAGAAUCAUAUUCCUUGCUCUUCUUCUUCUUCGUCUUCUUCUCAUUGUCCCACUGUGGACACUCAGAUAUGUAGUGACCAGGUUUCUUGCACUUGUGGAAGGUUCUCUUCUUGUGGUCAUGGGUGGAAGCUUCAUCAUUCUUGGAACUAGACCGUGAAGACUUUCUAAAGCCCUUCUUCUUGGUGAACCUCUGAAACUUCUUCACAAGCAUGGCAAGUUCCUCUCCAAUGUCUUCAGGAUCAUCAGAACCGCAGUCAGAUUCCUCUUCAGAUGAGGAAACCACUUUUGCCUUCAAGGCGCGAGUUCGGCCAUAACUGGGACCAUAGAUAUCUCUUUUCUCAGAAAGCUGGAACUCAUGUGUGUUAAGCCUCUCAAGUAUAUCAGACGGAUCGAGUGUCUUGAAGUCAGGACGUUCUUGUAUCAUGAGGGCAAGGGUGUCAAAGGAGCUGUCAAGUGAUCUCAGUAGUGUCUUGACGAUUUCAUGCUUGGUGAUCUCAGUGGCACCAAGAGCUUGAAGUUCAUUUUUGAUGUCAGUCAGACGAUCAAACGUGAGUUGGACAUUUUCAUUGUCAUUUCUCUUGAAGCGGUUGAAGAGGUUGCGAAGAAUACUGAUCCUUUGAUCUCUCUGGGUUGAGACGCCUUCAUUGACCUUGGAUAGCCAGUCCCAGACUAGCUUCGACGUUUCCAGAGCACUCACAUGGCCAUACUGUCCUUUGGUCAGAUGACCACAGAUGAUGUUCUUAGCAGUAUAGUCCAGUUGAAUGAACUUCUUGACAUCAGUGGGGGUGACACCUUCACCAGUUUUGGGAACGCCGUUCUUGACGACAUACCAGAGGUCGACAUCAAUGGCUUCAAGAUGCAUGCGCAUCUUAUUCUUCCAGUAGGGAUAUUCAGUUCCCUCAAACACGGGCAAGCAACGGAGACUUUGAUUAUCCCUGCAGUCGACAUAGCUGAAACUCCAGGUGGUUGAACCGAAUCACACAGAACAAGGGAGUACCUUGCUCUGAUACCAAUUGAAAGUGCUAGUAUCGACUAGAGGGGGGUGAAUAGGUGAUUUUUACGAAAGUCUUCAAAACUUGGAAGUUUCGAAGACAAACAAUAGAAAUGACCUAGUUAAUAUGCAGCGGAAGAUAAACUACCAUACGUAAGCCAUAGUCAAGUAUGCAAUGAUGUGAAAGUACAUGACUAAUAGCAGCUAAGUAGUAAGGAUCAGGAUGGAAGAUAGUAUGAAGCCAAUCAACAGUAGUAGUCAAGCAAUGAAGUCAAACAGGUACACAGAUAGGCAAUGACUUCAUGAAGACAAACUUAAGUAAAGGAAGGAAGAGGAUAGAACCAGUCACUUGUUGAAGACACAUGAUUUGUUGGACCAGUUCCAGUUGCUGUGACAACUGUACAUCUGGUUAGGGAGGCUGAGAUUCAACUCAGAAGACCGCGUCUUCACCUUAUUCCCCUUGAGCUAAGGACACCUAGUCCACGCCCAAUCACUCUGGUAAGUCUUCAAGGUAGACUCCCAAACCUUCACAGACUUCGUUCACCGGCAAUCCACAAUGACUCUUGGAUGCUCAGAACGCGACGCCUAACCGGCUGGAGGAUACACAGUCCUCAAGUGUAAUGAGUCUUCAGGUCACACAGACAGAAAGACUUCAGUGAUGCCUAACACUCUUUGGCUCUGGGUGUUUGGGCUUGGUCCUCGCAAGGAUUUUUCUCUCUCAAAGGCUUCGAGGUGAGUUGCUCUCAAAACGACAAAAGCCGUAGAAUAACUCUGAGCAGCCACCAAUUUAUGGUGUACGGGUGGGCUAUUUAUAGCCACUGGGCAACCCGACCUGAUAUGUCCGAAAUGACCCUGGGUCACUAAGGAACUGACACGUGUUCCAACGGUCAGAUUUCAAACACACACGGCAACUUUACUUGGGCUACAAGCAAAGCUGACUUAUCCAGCUCAGGAUAAGAUUUGCUCUCAUUGUCUUCGCUCGAAGACAUAGGAUUUGGGUUGAGCAUCACUUCAGUCACUCUGACUUAGUUCACUUGGACCCCACUUAACAAUACGGUGGUUCCUAUGACUCAACAAAGAAGAAAAGGAAACAACGAAACAACACAGUCUUCGCGCUCCAUAGUCUUCACUCAAUGUCUUCUCAUGUCAUAGUCUUCAAUAUGAAUAUCUUCACAUACCACCAUUGUCUUCACUAUCUUCAUACAUUUUUAGGGGUCAUCUUCGGUAGGUAAACCGAAUCAAAGAGGGACACUACCUGCGUUAUCCUGCAAUUCUCACAAACGCAUUAGUCCCUCAACCAACUUUGUCGUCAAUACUCCAAAACCAACUAGGGGUGGCACUUGAUGCACUUACAGUACGCUUACGUGAGACAGGUUCCACCGACUGACAUGCACUAGUUGCAUAAGGUGGCUAGCGGGUGUAUGUCUCUCCCACUUUAGUUGGAGCGGAUUCGAUGAAAAGGGUCCUUAUGAAGGGUAAAUAGAAAUUGGCAUAUCACAUUGUGGUUUUACGUAGGUAAGAAACGUUCUUGCUAGAAACCUAUAGAAGCCACGUAAAAACUUGCAACAACAAUUAGAGGACUUCUAACUUGUUUUUGCAGCAUAUGCCUUGUGAUGUGAUAUGGCCAAAAGGAUGUGAUGAAUGAUAUAUGUGAUGUAUGAGAUUGAUCAUGUUCUUGUAAUAGGAAUCACGACUUGCAUGUCCAUGAGUAUGACAACCGGCAAGAGCCAUAGGAGUUGUCUUUAUUUUUUUGUAUGACCUGCGUGUCAUUGAAUAACACCAUGUAAAUUACUUUACUUUAUUGCUAAACGCGUUUGCCAUAGAAGUAGAAGUAGUCGUUGGCGUGACAACUUCAUGAAGACACGAUGAUGGAGAUCAUGAUGAUGGAGAUCAUGGUGUCAUGCCGGUGAUGAAGAUGAUCAUGGCGCCCCGAAGAUGGAGAUCAAAGGAGCAAUAUGAUAUUGGCCAUAUCAUGUCACUAUUUGAUUGCAUGUGAUGUUUAUCAUGUUUUUCAUUUUAUUUGCUUAGAACGACGGUAGCUUAAAUAAGAUGAUCCCUUGAAAUAAUUUCAGGAAAAGUGUUCCCCCUAACUAUGCACCAUUGCGAAGGUUCGUUGUUUCGAAGCACCACGUGAUGAUCGGGUGUGAUAGAUCCUAACGUUCGAAUACAACGGGUGUAAGCCAGAUUUACAAACGCAAUACACUUAGGUUGACUUGAUGAGCCUAGCAUGUACAUACAUGGCCUCGGAACACGGAAGACCGAAAGGUCGAGCAUGAGUCGUAUAGAAGAUACGAUCAACAUGAAGAUGUUCACCGAUGAUGACUAGUCCGUCUCACGUGAUUAUCGGACAUGGCCUAGUUGACUCGGAUCAUGUUUCACUUAGAUGACUAGAGAGAUGUCUGUCUGAGUGGGAGUUCAUUGAAUAAUUUGAUUAGAUGAACUUAAUUAUCAUGAACUUAGUCUAAAAACCUUUGCAAAGUGUCUUGUAGAUCAAAUGGCCAACACUCAUGUCCACCUCAACUUCAACACGUUCCUAGAGAAAACCAAGCUGAAAGAUGAUGGCAGCAACUAUACGGACUCGGUCCGGAACCUGAGGAUCAUCCUCAUAGCUGCCAAGAAAGAUUAUGUCCUAGAAGCACCGCUAGGUGAAGCACCCAUCCCAGAGAACCAAGACGUUAUGAACGCUUGGCAGUCUCGUGCUGAUGAUUACUCCCUUGUUCAGUGCGGCAUGCUUUACAGCUUAGAACUGGAUCUCCAAAAGCGUUUUGAGCAACAUGGAGCAUAUGAGAUGUUCGAAGAGAUGAAAAUGGUUUUCCAAGCUCAUGCCCGGGUCGAGAGAUAUGAAGUCUCCGACAAGUUCUUCAGUUGUAAGAUGGAGGAAAAUAGUUCUGUCAGUGAGCACAUACUCACAAUGUCUGGGUUGCACAACCGCUUGACUCAGCUGGGAGUUAAUCUCCCGGAUGACACGGUUAUUGACAAAAUCCUUCAGUCGCUUCCACCGAGCUACAAGAGCUUUGUGAUCAACUUCAAUAUGCAGGGGAUGGAAAAGACCAUUCCUGAGGUAUAUUCAAUGUUGAAAUCAGCGGAGGUAGAGAUCAAAAAGGAACAUCAAGUGUUGAUGGUGAAUAAAACCACUGAGUUCAAGAAAGGCAAGGGUAAGAAGAACUUCAAGAAGGACGGGAAGGGAGUUGCCGCGCCCGGUAAGCCAGUUGUCGGGAAGAAGUCAAAGAAUGGACCCAAGCCUGAGACAGAGUGCUUUUAUUGCAAGGGAAGUGGUCACUGGAAGCAGAACUGCCCCAAGUACUUAGCGGACAAGAAGGACGGCAACACCAAAGGUAUAUGUGAUAUACAUGUUAUUGAUGUGUACCUUACCAACACUCGUAGUAGCUCCUGGGUAUUUGAUACCAGUGCGGUUGCUCAUAUUUGUAACUCAAAGCAGGAGCUGCGGAAUAAGCGGAGACUGGCGAAGGACGAGGUGACGAUGCGCGUCGGGAAUGGUUCCAAGGUCGAUGUGAUCGCCGUCGGCACGCUACCUCUACAUUUACCUACGGGAUUAGUUUUAAACCUCAAUAAUUAGUGCCAGCUUUGAGCAUGAACAUUGUAUCAGGAUCUCGUUUAAUUCGAGAUGGCUACUCAUUUAAAUCCGAGAAUAAUGGUUGUUCUAUUUAUAUGAGAGAUAUGUUUUAUGGUCAUGCCCCGCUGGUGAAUGGUUUAUUCUUAAUGAAUCUCGAGCGUAAUGUUACAAAUAUUCAUAGUGCGAAUACAAAAAGAUGUAAAGUUGACAACGAUAGUCCCACAUACUUGUGGCACUGCCGCCUUGGUCACAUUGGUGUCAAGCGCAUGAAGAAGCUCCAUGCUGAUAGACUUUUAGAGUCUCUCGAUUAUGAAUCAUUUGACACAUGCGAACCAUGCCUCAUGGGCAAAAUGACCAAGACUCCGUUCUCCGGAACAAUGGAGCGAGCAACCAACUUAUUGGAAAUCAUACAUACUGAUGUGUGCGGUCCAAUGAGCGUCGAGGCUCGCAGAGGCUAUCGUUAUGUUCUCACCCUCACUGAUGACUUGAGUAGAUAUGGGUAUGUCUACAUGAUGAAACACAAGUCUGAGACCUUUGAAAAGUUCAAGGAAUUUCAGAAUGAGGUAGAGAAUCAACGUGACCGAAAGAUAAAUUUCUUACGAUCAGAUCGUGGGGGAGAAUAUUUAAGUCACAAAUUUGGUACACACUUAAGGAAAUGUGGAAUCGUUUCACAACUCACGCCGCCUGGAACACCUCAGCGAAAUGGUGUGUCCGAACGUCGUAAUCGCACUCUAUUGGAUAUGGUGCGAUCUAUGAUGUCACUUACCGAUUUACCGCUAUCAUUUUGGGGAUACGCUCUAGAUUCAACUACAUUCACUUUAAAUAGGGCACCGUCUAAAUCCGUUGAGACGACACCGUUUGAAUUAUGGUUUGGGAAGAAACCUAAGCUGUCGUUUCUAAAAGUUUGGGGAUGCGAUGCUUAUGUCAAGAAACUUCAAACUGAAAAGCUCGAACCCAAGUCGGAAAAAUGUGUCUUCAUAGGAUACCCUAAGGAAACCAUUGGGUAUACCUUCUACUUAAGAUCCGAGGGCAAGAUCUUUGUUGCCAAGAAUGGGUCCUUUCUGGAGAAAGAGUUUCUCUCAAAAGAAGUAAGUGGGAGAAAAGUGGAACUUGAUGAAGUACUACCUCUUGAACCAGAAAGUAGCGCAACUCAGGAAGAUGUUCCUGUGGUGCCUGCACCGACUAGAGAGGAAACCAAUGAUGAUGAUCAAGGUACUUUGGAUCAAGUUACUACUGAACUUCGUAGGUCCAUGAGGACACGUUCCACACCAGAGUGGUAUGGCAAUCCUGUCCUAGAAAUCAUGUUGUUAGACAACGGUGAACCUUCGAACUAUGAAGAAGCAAUGGCGGGCCCAGAUUCCAACAAAUGGCUUGAUGGCAUGCAAUCCGAGAUAGGAUCCAUGUAUGAAAACAAAGUAUGGACUUUGACAGACUUGCCCGAUGAUCGGCGGGCAAUAGAAAACAAAUGGAUCUUUAAGAAGAAGACGGAUGUGGAUGGUAAUGUUACCAUCUAUAAAGCUCGACUUGUCGCUAAGGGUUAUCGACAAGUUCAAGGGAUUGACUACGAUGAGACAUUCUCUCCCGUAGCGAAGCUGAAGUCCGUCUGAAUCAUGUUAGCAAUUGCCGCAUACUAUGAUUAUGAGAUAUGGCAAAUGGACGUCAAAACGGCAUUCCUUAACGGUCAUCUUAAGGAAGAACUGUAUAUGAUGCAGCCGGAAGGUUUUGUCGACCUUGAGAAUGCUAACAAGGUAUGCAAACUCCAGCGAUCCAUUUAUGGGCUGGUGCAAGCAUCUCGGAGUUGGAACAUUCGCUUUGAUGAGAUGAUCAAAGUGUUUGGGUUUAUGCAGACUUAUGGAGAAGCCUGCAUUUACAAGAAAGUGAGUGGGAGCUCUGUAGCAUUUCUCACAUUAUAUGUAGAUGACAUACUUUUGAUGGAAAAUGAUAUAGAACUUUUGGACAACAUUAAGGCCUACUUGAAUAUGUGUUUUUCAAUGAAGGACCUUGGAGAAGAUGCUUACAUAUUAGGCAUCAAGAUCUAUAGAGAUAGAUCGAGACGCCUCAUAGGUCUUUCACAGAGUACAUACCUUGAUAAGAUAUUGAAGAAGUUCAAUAUGGAUCAGUCCAAGAAGGGGUUCUUGCCUGUGUUGCAAGGUGUGAAAUUGAGCUCGGCUCAAUGUCCGACCACGACAGAAGAUAGAGAAAAGAUGAGUGUCGUCCCCUAUGCCUCAGCCAUAGGGUCUAUCAUGUAUGCCAUGACCUGUACCAGACCUGAUAUAAACCUUGCCGUAAUUUUGGUAGGUAGGUACCAAAGUAAUCCCGGCAUGGAACACUAGACAGCGGUCAAGAACAUCUUAAAGUACCUGAAAAGGACUAAGGAUAUGUUUCUCGUAUAUGGAGGUGACGAAGAGCUUGUUGUAAAGGGUUACGUCGACGCUAGCUUCGACACAGAUCUGGAUGACUCUAAGUCACAAACCGGAUACGUGUAUAUUUUGAAUGGUGGGGCAGAAAGCUAGUGCAGUGGCAAGCAAAGCGUCGUGGCGGGAUCUACAUGUGAAGCGGAGUACAUGGCAGCCUCGGAGGCAGCGCAUGAAGCAAUCUGGGUGAAGGAGUUCAUCACCGACCUAGGAGUCAUACCCAAUGCGUCGGGGCCGAUCACACUCUUCUGUGACAACACUGGAGCUAUUGCACUUGCCAAGGAGCCCAGGUUUCACAAGAAGACCAGGCACAUCAAGCGUCGCUUCAACUCCAUUCGUGAAAAUGUUCAAGAUGGAGACAUAGAUAUUUGUAAAGUAUAUACGGACCCGAAUAUAGCAGAUCCGUUGACUAAACCUCUCCCUAGAGCAAAACAUGAUCAACACCAGAACGCUAUAGGUGUUCGAUUCAUCACAAUGUAACUAGAUUAUUGACUCUAGUGCAAGUGGGAGACUGUUGGCAAUAUGCCCUAGAGGCAAUAAUAAAAUGGUUAUUAUUAUAUUUGUCUGUUCAUGAUAAUUCUCUAUUGUUCAUGCUAUAAUUGUAUUAUCCGGAAAUCGUAAUACAUGUGUGAAUACAUAGACCACAACAAGUCCCUAGUGAGCCUUUAGUUGACUAGCUCGUUGAUCAACAGAUAGUCAUGGUUUCCCGACUAUGGACAUUGGAUGUCAUUGAUAACAAGAUCACAUCAUUAGGAGAAUGAUGUGAUGGACAAGACCCAAUCCUAAGCAUAGCACAAAGAUCAUGUAGUUCGUUUAGCUAGAGCUUUUACAAAUGUCAAGUAUCAUUUCCUUAGACCAUGACAUUGUGCAACUCCCGGAUACCAUAGGAGUGCUUUGGGUGUGCCAAACAUCACAACGUAACUGGGUGACUAUAAAGGUGCACUACGGGUAUCUCCAAAAGUGUCUGUUGGGUUGGCACGAAUCGAGAUUGGGAUUUGUCACUCCGUAUGACGGAGAGGUAUCUCUGGGCCCACUCGGUAAUGCAUCAUCAUAAUGAGAUCAAUGUGACCAUGUGUCUGGUCACGGGAUCAUGCAUUACGGUACGAGUAAAGUGACUUGCCGGUAACGAGAUUAAACGAGGUAUUGGGAUACCGACGAUCUAAUCUCGGGCAAGUAACGUACCAAUUGACAAAGGGAAAUGUAUACGGGAUUGAUUGAAUCCUCGAAAUCGUGGUUCAUCCGAUGAGAUCAUCGAGGAGCGUGUGGGAGCCAACAUGGGUAUCCAGAUCCCGCUAUUGGUUAUUGACCGGAGAGGCGUCUCGGUCAUGUCUGCAUGUCUCCCGAACCCGUAGGGUCUACACACUUAAGGUUCGGUGAUGCUAGGGUUGUAGAGAUAUAUGUAUGCAGUAACCCGAAAGUUGUUCGGAGUCCCGGAUGAGACCCCGGACGUCACGAGGAGUUCCGGAAUGGUCCGGAGGUGAAGAUUUAUAUAUGGGAAGUUCAGUUUCGGCCAUCGAGAAAGUUUCGGGGGUCACCGGUAUUGUACCAGGACCACCAGAUGGGUCACGGGGGUCCACUGGGUGGGGCCACCUAUCCCGGAGGGUCCCAUGGGCUGAAGUGGGAGGGGAACCAGCCCGUGGUGGGCUGGUGCCCCCCCUUUGGGCCCCCCUGCGCCUAGGGUUGGAAACCCUAGGGGUGGGGGGUGCCUCCACUUGCCUUGGGGGGCAAGCCACCCCCUUGGCCGCCGCCCCCCUUGGAGAUCCCAUUUCCUAGGGCCAGCGCCCCCAGGGGGCCUAUAUAAAGAGGGGGGAGGGAGGGCAGCCGCACUCCAAGUCUCGGGCGCCUCCCUCUCCGCACGCACCACCUCUCCCUCUCGCAGAAGCUUGGCGAAGCCCUGCCGAGAUCGCUGCUGCAUCCACCACCACGCCGUCGUGCUGCUGGAUCUUCAUCAACCUCUCCUUCCGCCUUGCUGGAUCAAGAAGGAGGAGCCGUCUUCCCAGCCGUACGUGUGUUGAACGCGGAGGUGCCGUCCGUUCGGCGCUAGGAUCUCCGGUGAUUUGGAUCACGACGAGUACGACUCCCUCAACCCCGUUCUCUUGAACGCUUCCGCUCGCGAUCUACAAGGGUAUGUAGAUGCAAUCCUCUCUCUCGUUGCUAGAUGACUCCAUAGAUUGAUCUUGGUGAAGCGUAGAAUUUUUUUAUUUUCCGCAACGUUCCCCAACACUACACAUGUCACACCAUUCCCCCUUCCCUUAUACUAGGUUUACAUCAUUAGAGGUCUCUCUACUCCACAUACACACACUCCCUAUCACACACAAACGCGUGCACAAACACACACAGACACGCACAAACACCCAUUUAUCUGGAUCCUCAUCUCUCCCCAUGCCCGCAUGUGUAUCUCACACACUCACUCUCUGAUUGUGUAUAUGUGUCUCCAUGUUACACAACACAAAUCCCCAUGUACAUGUCUCUCUCUAUCCUCCACACACAUAGACACAAAGAAUCUCUUACCAUUGCCUCAGUCUCUAGACAUAUCACACACGCACACUGUCUCUCUUUCUCUCUCGCAAACACGCUCAACAAGGGUUUCCCCAUGAAUAACUUACCGUCCAUUCAUCAACAGUCGUGGUAGUACGACGAACACGAGACGUGAAAAAGAAUAAAUCUACACGUGCUUAGCCCACCUAGUAUGACUACUAGGACUAGAGCAAGCCAAAAAGCGUGUCGCUGUCACCCCCUCAUCAGCGACGGGAAAACCUUUGUUUUACACAGUCGAGAAGUCAUUGUGCUAAGGCCCCACAUGCCGAGGCAUUGAAUAGAAUGUAGAUGCUAGUUUACGGAUACAAGUAUCGAUAAUACGUUUGUAUCUCCAUACUUAUAUUUCCUCUCAUAAAAAAUCGAGUUGGUGAUGAUGGUACGCUUGCCAUCUUGCAAUAUAGACCGUCCGAUCUAUAUCUGAUGGAUGGAAAUUAAACUAAAAGAUACCCGCACCUCUCUCCACAUUUGCAGACAAGGCCUUCCCUCAUUCAUCCUUGUUUCCAACAACCUCAUUGUUGAGCAAUUAAGAAAAAGCCUCUGGAACAAACUGGUCUGGUGGCCGCUGCAGGCAUCGUCAAUCCCCAUGCCUCCGCUCAGCUCGACCACCAAUCGCCACCACGCCCCACUCCUCUUCACUCCUAUUUCUCGAGAUGUUAUUAGUUUUUACACAUGGGAUUACUCCCGCAUGGGUCAAUCACAACAAGUGUUUUAUAAAAAAAUGCAUCUUGAUGUUUCGUCCAAUGCACGGAUCUUGCUAGUACUCCUAUAGAAGACUAAGUUGGUGAUGAUGGUGUGUCUGCCAUCUAUCGUUUCUGACCAUUAGAUCUACAUCUAAUGACUGUGAGGUAAGUUGUUGCCUUUUCUCACCAACAUCCCACUUCUCUACCAAUUUGCAGAAAAAACCCAUAGUUAGUAUCUUAAAACCAACCAUAUCCCUCCUUCACCUCACCAAAACAGCCCAAGGAAUAUAUUCUAAUUGAAACAUAAUAUAUCUCUAGUGAUAUAUGUAUAUCAAAAUUAGAGUGUUUUGUAUCAAGUUUGUGAAUAAGUAUUAUCCUAAUUAUGAUCGGUUGCAACGCACAUGAACAUUGCUAGUAUUUCCAACCAUGCAAAAAAAUUCCUAGUAUUUCCAUAGUUUCGAGUUUUCCAUCAAGAUAUUAGUCACUCGUGGUUGAUAUUUACUUUCAACCAUGUACACAUAUGCACUAUGUAACUAGCCUUGCUUAUUGGCUUCCAAAGCUUAACUUUCACUCCUACUUACAAUAUGUAGAGUAUUUAACAAAAAUCUACCACUUUCAACCAGCCCUAGGAAGAAUCUAUUGAACAAAAAAUAGCAAAAACAUACCUAAAAUUUCUUAAUCCACGCCAAAAACUACUACCUAGUGCUGAUUAGGCUCGUUUAAACCCGUUUAUGACAGGGUUGGUCCACACGUCCGCGCUGACGAGGCAGCUUAAACCAACACAUUUUGUUUGACCUUUGACACGAGGGACCCACAUCUGACCUUCUAUCUUGUUAUUCCCCCUCAGAUCAUUAUUUUUCAUGAACAUUACUUCAAACAGUACUGAUGCGUGUUCGUCGGUGGCGCCGGUGAUGAGCGAGUUGGCCGCCGCUCCACCGGACGGGCCGGAUGCCGCGCUGGCCUCCGCACGGGUUCGUAGGCUGGCCCGAGCAUGACUCACGAGCGAGCAAACCGCCGCGCUGGCUUUCUCUCGAGCCAAAUGGCUGGCCUUAGCGCGGCACACGCGCGAGCAAACCGCCACGCCGCCGUGCAAAUCUAGCUAGCAAACCUUGCAGACAAGCAGCUGGACGGAGCUAUCUUGGUUAGCUAGCGGCCGUGAGUGCCGGAUGGAGCUGGCAUCCGGGCUGCCGCAAGAUGGUCUCUGCACCGCCGGUGGUUUUGACUUCGCCUUCUGCCCGCGGCAGUAGCUGCGUCCCAUGGCCAAGGAUGACUAGGUGGACGGGCAGGAGGUAGGAGGUCACUCGGGGAUUUUUGUGCAGACUGACAUGCAGGUCCCACAAGUCAUAACGUCUAACUUCUCGAUCGAAUAGAAGGUGUUGACUCAAUGGGCGAUGAGACGUCUCCAACGUAUCUAUAAUUUUUGAUUGUUCCAUGCUAUUAUAUUACCCCUUUUGGAUGUUUAUGGGCUUUAUUUCACACAUUUAUAUCAUUUUUUGGGACAAACCUACUAACUUGAGGCCCAGCCCGCAUUGCUGUUUUUUUGCCUAUUUCAGUAUGUCGAAGAAAAGGAAUAUCAAAUGGAGUCCAAACGGAAUGAAACCUUCGGGAGCGUGAUUUUUGGAACGAACGUGAUCCAGAGGACUUGGAGUGAAAGUCAAGAAGUCGCCGAGGCGACCACAAGACAGGAGGGUGCGCCCCCUAUCUUGUGGGCCCCUCGGGCGGCCACCGACGUACUUCUUCCUCCUAUAUAAGCCUACGUACCUCGAAAACAUCCAGGGAGCCAACGAAACACAAUUUCCACCACCGUAACCUUCUGUAUCCGCGAGAUCCCAUCUUGGAGCCUUCGUCGGCGCUCUGCCGGAGGGGGAAUCGACCAUGGAGGGCUUCUACAUCAACACCAUAGCCCCUCUGAUGAGUUGUGAGUAGUUUACCAUAGACCUUCGGGUCCAUAGUUAUUAGCUAGAUGGCUUCUUCUCUCUUUUUGGAUCUCAAUACAAUGUUCUCCCCCUCUCUUGUGGAGAUCUAUUCGAUGUAAACUCUUUUUGCGGUGUGUUUGUCGAGAUCCGAUGAAUUGUGGGUUUAUGAUCAAGUUUAUCUAUGAGAAAUAUUUGAAUAUCCUCUGAAUUCUUUUAUGUAUGAUUAAGUUAUCUUUGCAAGUCUCUUCGAAUUAUCAGUUUGGUUUGGCCUAUUAGAUUAAUCUUGCAUGCCAUGGGAGAAGUGCUUAGCUUUGGGUUCAAUCUUGCGGUGUCCUUACCCAGUGACAGAAAGGGUUGCAAGGCACGUAUUGUAUUGUUGCCAUCGAGGAUAAAAAUAUGGGGUUUAUAUCAUAUUGCAUGAGUUUAUCCCUCUACAUCAUGUCAUCUUGCUUAAUGUGUUACUCUGUUCUUUAUGAACUUAAUACUCUAGAUGCAGGCAAGAGUCGGUCGAUGUGUGGAGUAAUAGUAGUAGAUGCAGGCAGGAGUAGGUCUACUUGUCACAGACGUGAUGCCUAUAUACAUGAUCAUGCCUAGAUAAUCUCAUAAUUAUUCGCUUUUCUAUCAAUUGCUCAAUAGUAAUUUGUUCACCCACCGUAAUACUUAUGCCAUCUUGAGAGAAGCCACUAGUGAAACCUAUGGCCCCCGGGGUCUAUCUUUUAUCAUAUAAGCUUUCAAUCUACUUUUAUUUGCAUCUUUACUUUUUGCAUCUAUAUUAUAAAAUACCAAAAAUAUAUUUAUCUUAUCAUACGAUCUCUAUCAGAACUCACUUUCGCAAGUGGCCGUGAAGGGAUUGACAACCCCUUUAUUGCGUUGGUUGCGAGUUCUUUGUUUGUUUGUGUAGGUGCGUGGGACUUUUGAGGAGCCUCCUACUGGAUUGAUACCUUGGUUCUCAAAAACUGAGGGAAAUACUUAUGCUACUAUUGCUGCAUCACCCUUUCCUCUUCAAGGAAAACCAACGCAAGCUUAAGAUGUAGCAAGAAGGAUUUUUGGCGCCGUUGCUGGGGAGGUCUUCGCUCAAGGUAAGAUCAAUUCGCCGGCCUUCCUUUUGAAGAUGCCGCUACUCAUCUAAACAACUUUGUUGACUUGUGUGAUAUGCAAAAGAAGAAAGAUACGGAUAACGAUAUUGUUAAAUUGAAGUUAUUUCCGUUUUCACUUAGAGAUCGUGCUAAAGUUUGGUUUUCGUCUUUGCCUAAAAUAGUAUUGAUCCUUGGAACAAGUGCAAAGAUGCUUUUAUCUCUAAGUAUUUUCCUCCCGCUAAGAUUAUCACUCUUAGGAAUGAUAUUAUGAAUUUUAAACAACUUGAUCAUGAGAAUGUUGCCCAAUCUUGGGAAAGAAUGAAAUUGAUGAUUCACAAUUGCCCUACUCAUGGUUUGAAUUUAUGGAUGAUCAUACAAAUUUUUUAUGCCGGUUUGAACUUUGCUUCUAAAAAUCUUUUAGAUUUGGUGGCGGGAGGCACAUUUAUGGAAAUCACAUUAGGAGAUGCUACAAAACUUCUUGAUAAUAUUAUGGCUAAUUAUUCUCAAUGGCACACCGAAAGAUCUUCUAGUAAAAAAAGUGCAUGCUAUAGAAGAAAUCAAUGUUUUGAGUGGAAAGAUGGAUGAACUUAUGAAAUUGUUUGCUACUAAGAAUACUCCUCUUGAUCCCAAGGAUAUGCCUUUGUCUACUUUGAUUGAGAAUAAUAAUGAGUCUAUGGAUGUGAAUUUUGUUGGUAGGAAUAGUUUUGGAAAUAAUGCUUAUAGAGGAAACUUUAAUUCUAGACCGUUCCCUAGUAAUUCCUCUAAUAAUUAUGGAAAUUCCUACAAUAAUUCUUAUGGUAAUUUUAAUAAGAUGCCCUCUGAUUUUGAGAAUAGUGUGAAAGAUUUUAUGAUUUGUCAAAAGAAUUUUAAUGCUUUGCUUGAAGAAAAAUUGCUCAAAGUUGAUGAUUUGGCUAGGAACAUUGAUAGACUUUCGCUUGAUGUUGAUUCUCUUAAACUUAGAUCUUCUCCUCCUAAGCAUGAUAUCAAUGAGUCUCUCAAAUAAAUGAGAAUUUUGAUUGAUGAGUGCAAGGAAAGAACCGCUAGAUUGCGUGCUAAGAAAGAUUGCUUUAUAAAGGCGUGUUCUUCUAGUUUCCAUGAAAAUAAUGAUGAAGAUCUUAAAGUUAUUGAUGCGUCUCCUAUUAUAUCUUUGUUUCACAAUAUGAAUCUUGAUAAUAAUGGGACGAAGAUGAGGUAACUUUAGUUAGAAGGCGUCCCAAGAAUUUGGAGUUUUUAGAUUUUGAUGCUAAAUUUGGUAAAAGUGGGAUUGGAGAGGUCAUGACUUUAAAUAGCAUUGAACCCACUAUCUCUGCUUUCAAGGAAUUUGAUUAUGAUAAUUGUUCUUUAGAAGGUUGUAUUUCCUUGUUGCAAUCCGUUGUUAACUCUCCUCAUGCUUAUAGUCAAAAUAAAGCUUUUACCAAACAUAUUGUUGAUGCCUUGAUGCAAUCUUAUGAUGAAAAACUCAAUUUGAAGUUUCUAUACCUAGAAAACUUAAUGAUGAGUGGGAACCUACUAUAAAGAUUAGAAUUAAAGAUCAUGAGUGUUUUGCUUUGUGUGAUUUGGGUGCUAGUGUUUCCACGAUUACGAAAACUUUAUGUGAUAUUCUAGGUUUCCAUGAUCUUGAUGAUUGCUCUUUAAAUUUGCACCUUGCGGAUUCCACCAUUAAAAGGCCAAUGGGAAGGAUCAAUGAUGUUCUCAUCUUGCAAAUAGAAAAUUGGUGCCCGUAGAUUUUAUCGUUCUUGAUAUAGAUUGCAAUCUUUCUUGCCCUAUUAUUCUUGGUAGACCUUUCCUUAGAACGAUUGGUGCGAUUAUUGAUAUGAAGGAAGGGAAUAUUAGAUUCCAAUUUCCAUUAAAGAAAGGCAUGGAGCACUUUCCAAGAAAGAAAGUUAAAUUACCUUAUGAAUCUAUCAUGUGAGCUACUUAUGAAUUUAGUGCCAAAGAUGGCACCACUUAGAUCUAUCUUCGCUUUUAUGCCUAGCUAGGGGCGUUAAACGAUAGCGCUAGUUGGGAGGCAACCCAAUUUUAUUUGUGUUUUUUUGUUUUUGUUCCUGUUUAUUAAUAAAUUUUGCAUCUACCUUCUGUUUAGAUGUGUUUUUAUGUUUUAAUUAGUGUUUGUGCCAAGUAGAACCUAUAGAAUAACCUAUGAUGAUAGUUGAUUUGAUUCUGUUGAAAAACAGAAACUUUGCAUGCACGAAUUUAAUUUUGUUAAAUCACAGAAACGUGCUUUUGCAUUGAUUUUUUUUUUGCUUCUAAUCAAUAGACAAAUUUUUCAGAACUUCCUAUUUUGGUAGGAGUUUUAGAGUUCCAGAAGUUUGUGUUAGUUACAGAAUGCUACAAACUGUUCUGUUUUGGACAGAUUCUGUUUUUCGUGUGUUGUUUGCUUAUUUUGAUGCAUCUAUGGCUAGUAAAAUAGUUUAUAAACCAUAGAGAAGUCAGAAUACAGUAGGUUUAACACCAAAAUAAAUAAAGAAUGAGUUCAUUACAGUACCUUAUGUGGUGGUUUUGUUUUCUUUCACUAACGGACCUUCUAAGAUUUCCUGUUGAGUUUUGUGUUGUGAAGUUUUCAAGUUUUUGGUAAAGGUUUUAUGGACUAUGGAAUAAGGAGUGGCAAGAGCCUAAGUUUGGGGAUGCCAAAGGCACCCCAAGAUAUUCAAUAAUAGCCAAAAGCCUAAGCUUGGGGAUGCCCCGGGAAGGCACCCCCUCUUUCGUCUUCGUUCAUUGGUAACUUUACUUGGAGCUAUAUUUUUAUUCGCCACAUGAUAUGUGUUUUGCUUGGAGCGUCGUGUAUUAUAUUAGUCUUUGCUUUUUAGUUUACCACAAUCAUCCUUGCUGUACACACCUUUUGGGAGAAUCCCACUUGAUUAGAAUUUGCUAGAAUACUCUAUGUGCUUCACUUAUAUCUUUUGAGCUUGAUAGUUUUUGCUCUAGUGCUUCACUUAUAUCUUUUAGAGCACGGAAGUGGCUUAAUUUUGAAGAAAUUGCUAGUCUCUCAUGCAUCACUUAUAUUAUUUUGAGAGUCUUUUAGAACAGCAUGGUAUUUGCUAUGGUUACAAAUUUGGUCCUAGAAUGAUGAGCAUCCAAGUUGGGUAUAAUAAAAACUAUCAUAGGAAAUGAAUUGGAUGCUAUGAUCAAUUUGAUGCUUGAUAAUUGUUUUGAGAUAUAAAGGUAGUAAUGUUAGGGUCAUGCUAGUGGGUAAUUAUGAAAUUGAGAAAUACUUUUGUUGAAGUUGGCAAGUCCCGUAGCAUGCAUGUAUGGUAAAAGUUGUGUGACAAAUUUGUUGCAUGAGGUGCUCUUUUGAUUGUCUUCCUUAUGAGUGGCAGUCGGGGACAUGCGAUUGUCUUUUCCUACCAAUCUAUCCCUCUAGGGGCAUGCGUAGUAGUACUUUGCUUUGAGGUCUAAGUAGACUUUUGCAAUAAUUAUUUGAGUUCUUUAUGACUAAUGUGAGUCCAUGGAUAUACGCACACUCAUCCCUCCACUUUGCUAGCCUCUAUUAUACCGCGCAACUUUCGCCGGUAUCAUGAACCCAUUAUUUACCUUCCUCAAAACAGCCACCAUACCUACCUAUUAUGGCAUUUCCAUAGCCAUUCCGAGAUAUAUUGCCAUGCAAAUUUUCACCGUUCCGUUUAUUAUGACACGUUCCAUCAUUGUCAUAUUGCUCUUUGCAUGAUCAUGUAGUUGACAUCGUAUUUGUGGCAAGGCCACCUUCAUAAUUUUCAUACAUGUCGCUCUUGAUUCAUUGUAUAUCCCGGUACACCGCCGGAGGCAUUCAUAUAGAGUCAUAUCUUAUUCUAGCUUUGAGUUGUAAUUCUUGAGUUGUAAAUCAAUAAAAGUGUGAUGAUCUUCAUUAUUAGAGCAUUGUCUCAGUGAGGAAAGGAUGAUGAAGACUAUGAUUCCCCCACAAGUCGGGAUGAGACUUCAGACUUUACAAAAAGAAAAAAAGAAAAAAAAA
rnacentral:lncRNA from 1 species